rnacentral:lncRNA from 1 species
CAGUCUUGUCUGUGCCGGUUGGCUCUUUUGGUAUCUCCGCUCCGUCUUCAGUCUGGCCUGCCACUGCCGCUGAUGCCUCUUCUCCCCACUCUGUACUCUACUCUUCUAUACUCGCUCUCACCCACAGCGGACCGCAGACAGCGGACAGCAGACACACAGACAGCCGCCAGUCAGUGCAAAUGUUAAACAAAGACAACACAAAACGAAAGAAAAAGAAAAAAGCAGUAACAGUGCAAAGAAAAGUGCGAAAAGUGAACAUUAAGUCGAGUCAAAAAUGAAACAAAAAUACACAGCCCAGCCAGCCAGCCAGCCAGCCAGCCAGACAAUGCGUCAUUCGCUCAUUCACUCAAUCUUGAAAUAAAAGCACUGCUAUCGCAGCAGCACACACAAACUCUCACACUCGCAUGCAGUUGAACAGUUACAGUUACAAAGUGCGAAUCGGCUGGCCAGACAUCUCACCUCAUACACACACGCAGAGAUAGCAGCGGCAGAUGGCAGCGGCAGAGGCUCACUGCAGACUACAGUUAUCAGAGUGCGAGCCCCAGACUGAGACUCAGACGCCGCUGCUGGCGCUGCACUGCCGUCGCCAGGCAUCGUCUGGAAUUUGUAUUUCACGUAUGCACACACGCGCAAACACACACAUUUGCACCAAGAGAAGCAGCGGCAUCCACGGCUAACCGGAUGUUGCACACACUCGGUACCCCGACACAGUCACGAGCAGCCAUCUUUGUCAUCUUUCGAAUCUCAGCCUUGGCUAAGGUCGCGCCUGUCCUCCCAGCGAGCAGCAAUAGCAGCAGUAGCAACAGAGUGAGGCAGAGACGGAGUAACCAAGAAAGAGAGAGAGAGAGACAUGGCAGAGAGUUACCGUGAAGUCAUAAAUUUAUAACAAAUGCUAGACUCCACUCCACUACCCUCCGCACCAAGUGGACCGACUGACUGGUUUGGCGUGUUGGCCUGGACAAAAUGGAUUUUUUACGGCCCCGAGAAAACAACAAACAACAGAAGAGAACAGAAAGCGUUAAAAAGCCGCAACUGGAGUUCACAAAAGCAGCCAAAGCUAAAAUAGUGAAUGAUUUGUGGUGCUCGUUGCGGAAACAAACGAAAAACAAACUGAACCGCUCUGAAAGAUAAUCUGGUAAGCCAUAUCCAAAAUAGCUGUAAUAACAUCAUAAAGCGAUUGAGACGAUAAUUGGGAGUGUAAACAUGCAUCUCAAACGGACCAAACGUUAUAUUGAAAUAUUGUUCAAAAUUGGCCAAGAGAAAUAACCAAAGUCCGAUUUGCUCUACAUAAUUAAGUUUUAUAUCCGUAGGAUUAAAUAAAAGCUAGGAAUCGUAUUCAUUCCUGCAACCGAGUUUGACAACUCAUUCAACUGUAAUUAUCACAAUCUGCAACAUCUAUCAUUGGAAGUGCACAAAGAAAACUUUCAAAUUGCCCAGCACCGCCUUCUCAGAUAUCAUUCAAUCUUGAGAGUUACACUUUACCCCAAAUUCCCUCCACUAUGCCAUUCCAUGGCCAUUCCAUUGCAUGUUCCGCUAGUUCCAGUUAUAGUAAUAGUUAGGGGUUAUGUGUCCGCCCCCCAGGAGCGUGCUAAUGAAACAUUUAAUUAAAGCAUCAAACAUCAAAAGCGACAAAGAGGGAACAUAAUGAAACGGCAUUUUUUGUCUGCCUCGGUCGCUCCGUGUGGGGGAGGCAGCACGUGUGGGUGUGGGUACGAAAAGGUGUAUGAACACCUGAGCAGAACUGCCAGAGUUAACGCAACUAAAAGGGGCCCGAUCAGCGAGUUGGCUUCCAAAUUACAAAGGGAAAAUGAAAAUCGUUUCUACUUCAUUCCGGCCACACGACCCCUCCUGAUGGCCUCCUUACCCUGGCUAAUGCCGUCGACAAUUGCCGUAAAAGUUUAUCGCCCGCAUUAAAAAACCAUGGAUUAAAAUUCUACUUCAAAUAAGAGUCGAGCAUACACACUCGCACGAGAGGAAAAAAUAAUCCCAUCUCCAUUUCGCCAUUUUUCUACUCGUCCGCCCCUCCAGCUCUUCAGCUCUUCAGCUCUACGCCUCUCAUUCUUUCUUAUUUCGGUUACAGUUUUUCUUUUAUUUUUCUGGUGUUCUGUGCCCACAUUUUUCUUCUUUGCCGGCUCAUUUUGGCAUUUUUCGCUUCUUUUUUUUUACUGUAAUAAAGAUAAGAGCUCUAGUUGGAGGUGCCACCUGCAUUGCCUAUUUCCCGCUCCCCUCCCGCACCCUCUCCUGCUCUCCCUCUCUUGGCAAAGUGUUUGGCUAACAAAUGUUGUCCACUAAUUGCAGGCGAAAACAUUUUCUCGGCAACGAAUUAAGUGAUGUAAAUUUUUGGGCUCUAAAUGGUGCAACGAUUCUGCAAAGGAAGGAAGGAAGAGAAGAGACGGGGGUGGGUGGAGCUGGGUCCUAUUUUCGGUGGGAUAUUUUAGUGGGCGUGACACGAUGGGCAAAAAGUCAGACAGACAUGCAGACAAUUUCAUAUAAAAUGCAUGAGCAUGAAACCAAUUCAAUAGCCAAAAAACACUCGCAAAAACACACACACACACACACACACAGAAAGCAGGGAAGGGGGUGUGGCAUGUGGGGCGAAGCGAAAAAGGGUAAGAGGUGGAGGCAAUGGCGGAGCAUGUUAACUGUCUGUCGAGCAACCUGGCAUCGCACUGGAACUCAUAGUUGUCCUAGUUGUACCCGCUGAUGUUCCAGCACUUGUUCGAAUUGGCGGUGUAACGGAACGGAAGGCGGAGGGAGGCAGAAGAUGUGUGGCAUGUGGGCUGAUGGCUGAGGGGCAGUGGCAGAGAGAACACCAAAUUACUUUGAGCCACCGACAGAACUGAACUGAACUGAACAGUACCGAACGGAAGGGAAACGAAAUCGAUGCUUACUUAUAUAUACAAGAUACGUACCCCGACGAUGAAACGAAUUGGAAACAGACGAAAAUUUGCACACAAAAAAUUAAAAGAAAAAAAAAUACAGAUCGUAAGGCGGAGGCGGAGGAGGAACGGCAUGAAAAGAGAUAAAGAGAGAGCCAGAAUCAAAUGGCAGCGACAAAGUUUUCAAAUUAAUUUAUUGAUACUGCGAUAAGAGUUCGGAAAGGGAGAGGCAGCAGAAAAAGAGAGAAAAGUGUAGGAGAUAAACGUUUUAUGGCAGGGCCAUCAUCAACGAUGCGGACUGGACUGACUGAAGUGGCAUGGGGCAUGGGCAGGGGCAGGGGCAGGGGCAGGAUGUAGUAGCAGAGAAAGGACCCGGCUAGGUUUAAUCAAAUGUAUUGAAAAUGUUUCGAUUUUGCAAAGUUUUAGAGUCAGAAUAGGACAUCAAAUGAUUCCUGACAGCGGCAGCUGGUAAUAGCGGCAGAGGGUGUGGUGGGAACAGUGUACGCAGUGUUUUCUCCACUUUUUGGGUCUCCUCUCAUUAAAAGCGAUUCAAAAAAAAGAUAAAGCAAGUGACGUAGAAGGAGAAACAACAGAAGAAUCAACAAGCGCCCCACCUUCAACAUCUCGUCAUCAUCGUCAUCAUUCGAUUUCAGGGGACAGAAAUACAAUACAUAAAGAUGAGACGUUUAUUUAUAAGAAGACAUGAGAUCUGAGACCCUGACCGGUGGAUUCGUAGCCAAACAAGAACGGAAUAUGCACAUAAAAAGCAUCUUCAUCAGCAUCCGCUUUCCGCUCUGUAGGGAUAUUUGCUCAAUAACCGAUAAGAUACCCGUGCUAUAGCUUCAGCUAUAUAGAUUCUGAUUCUCAUUCUCAUUCACAUUGUGCUGACUUUGACUGUGCACAUCUCGCGACUUUGCGUCUGUAUUUUAUUCGUUUCGUAGUUUUGCUGAUACGAGACUUUAAGCGCAAAAAAUGCAAAUUUCAUUUCGCUCUUUGGCCGCGCCGGGGCUCCCCUCUGGCACUCCCCCACUCGUCCCCUCGCCGCUGUUGUGCAUUUGAAAUUGUUUUGUUUUCCUGCUGUUUUAUUUGUAAAUAUUUUUCUUUCUAUUUGUUUUAAAACGCCGCUUCCCGAUUUAUUUGUUGUGCCAUUCAUGUUUCUCUAUCUCUGGGAGUCUGUACCUCCCUCUCUCUCCCCCUCCCGCUCCCUGUCCCUCUCUCUUUCUCUGAUUCCCUCUGUAGCUGUGUGCAGUUUUAUUUUGUGUAAUGGCUGCGAUAUUUAUGGCCAUCAAGUCCUUCCUUGUUCCUCCAUCCUCGAUCCAGAGUCCACGGUCCAAUCGGAACAACUGCUGCAAUUUAUGGCCCUGCCCAAGCUUGGAUUUGGCUUCCGUUUCCCUGGGCUAAUAAAAUAUUGAAAUAUAUAACAAUUUGCAUGAUUUUUGGUUCAAGUUUUGGCGAACUGAAUAAAUAUACAAUUCCAUUCCGUUCCGCUGCGAUAGACGGCAAUUGCUUAGCUUUGGAGUGCAAUUUGGGUCGAUGUUUCCACAGAAUUUGAUUGCAAUUUCAGUUUGUGUGGGGCAAGAACAAGAAAUUGACAUCAAUGAUAAUCGCCAGAUGAAACGGACUAGGCGUCGAGCGAGGACUGCAGAUGAUCCGCUAUUAGCAUUCUGAGCUUUUUUCCCCUCGACAGUCUUUGAAUCUAAAUGUUCCACUUGCAAUCCCUGGCCUUAGGUCAGCUUCACUCAAUCCUCAGCUCCAGGCUCAAGUCCGUCGAGAGUGGGAGCCCAACAUGCUCUGUCCAUAACCAAAGAGUUGAAUAUGUUUAGCCAGAAUAAUUGUCGGCUAUUUCCAUGCAUAUUACGUCAACGCAUCGGACAGCGGAGAGCGGACAGCGUACGCAGAUGUGCCGCAGAGUUCGGGAUGGGACGAUAGAGCCGCCACAUGUUUGCCGUUUGUGCGAAUUCGGGCGGUACAUAAAACUAGCUAUAAACAAAUAAAGAUUUCGCGAUACACAACUGUGGAAAUAGAGAGAGAUUGCGAGGGAGAGAGAGCGCGGCGAGCGAAUGCACAAGAGUGGCACAACAGGGUAACCUGUAACUUGCAGCCAGCAGCGAGCAGGUAACAUCUGCAAGGGUGUUUCACGCUUGGCAACGCUCUCCACUCCGUCAUCGUUGCCGUCAAGUGUCUCUCUGUGUCGUGUGGGGGGUCGGCACGGCUUUAAUAUGCAGCGGGGUGUCAGUCAGAUUAUGGCUCAUAACGACAACACCUGUCGCGCUCGUGGCUGUUGUUGCCACUCGGUGUCAGAGGCUGAUAACACGCACAGAUUAUGGCGCUGAACAAUCUGUUGCUUGGCAGCGGCUCCUUUUAUCCUCUGGCAAUGCCACUGCCAGUGGCUCUGUCUUUGACUGUCUCACAUUUAAUGUGAUCACAUAAAUUUUGGGGCAAAUCAAAAACGCGUUUUAUGGCUUGCCAUCGUCAAUGUUGCUGCUUUUGCUGCCACUGCCACACUCCGCUGCCGCUGUUGGGCCCUGACUUUGUCCGAGAGCUAACAAAAUUUAUUGCAUUUUACAAGCAUAUUACAAACGCUCAACUCUCACGUACAGCCAGCUAGCUCCCUUCUCAUUUGUCUCCCUCUCUCUGGCCCUCUGCUGGCUCUUCAAUUCCCAGCAGCCACAUAAAAGCGCGUCAUGUCCGUUCCGUGUCUGUCCGCAGAGUCCGAUCUUCUGGUGGCUGCUGCUGGUCCUGCCAAAUUGAUGUAGACUCUGCGGCGCCAACGAGAGUCAAGGAACAAGGAGGAGUAACAGAAGAGCCGGAGCAGGAGCAGGAGCAGGAGCCAGUCAAGAUUGAUGGCCCGUUGAAUUGCUUGCUCUGCUGCUGCCCCAUCUAUUCCCCUGACUGCCUUCAGCUUCUGUCUCAGCAUAUGAAUUACUCAUUGCUCAUUUUUCCAGCAAUUUAUUGUCAUUUUUGCUGUUGCAGUUCUUCUGAAACUCCGCUGCUGUUGCUGCUGCUGCUGCUGCUGCUCCUAUCUCCAUUGCAAUUUUUCUGGCGCAUUCUUUAUGGCAAGAUGUUUUUCGCGCAAGAUUUUUCAUGUCGUCGCGGAUCUCUGGUCCCGCGGGUUUUUCUGUUAGAGUAAAAGUAGAGAGGGGACUGUGGUAAGUCUGGUGCGAGUUGCGGGGUGCAAUGAGUGAGUGAGUGAGUGAAAGAGUGUGGUCGGGCAUAUUUUGUCGAUAUUUACUUAAAAACCCACAGAGGACAGCGCUCCUGUUGAGUUAUGGCGUAUCCUUAAGCCGACGGAUUUAAGAUGGAGUGGCAGGCAGGGAGUCCGGGAGGCGCUGCCUCUUUGAAGAACAUGCCGCGGCAAUUACAACUAAUGCGGCAACUGCGUGUUGAAGUCGCUCUCUUCUGCUGCUGCUGACAUCAUUAGGCUCAUGUACACACACACGCGGACAUUCUUAUACACGCUUACAAACUAACACUCACACAGACACACCCAUGUGGGUUUGGGCUUUGGCCACUUCCGGUUGGACCAGGCUUAAUUUCCUGCGCGUUCUAUUCGUACAACAUGGCGUAUGUGUAAUCAAGUGAAUGGUGGACACACAUGCCACACAAUCGCACAUGGCUCCCUUUCCCUUUCCCAUCCCCAUAUCCCACCCUUUUGCGGGCAGUUUCCUUAAUCACUGAAACUGCCAUUUUUCAUCAAAGUAAUUACGGGACUUUGCCUGGCAUUGCUUUCGUUUUAUUUUGUUCGCUGUUCCCCAGGAAAACCCUGGAACCCCUCACACGCAUGGAAAACCAAGCCGCGUCCACGCCCUGGCCGACCGGCUGUUCAAACAGCAGUUUCCCGGAUACUUUUCCGGGCAGUGUCCACUUUUAUGUGGCUUUAAAUUAAAUCAUUUGAUUUGCAUUAAAAUUGUAUGCGCCAUUUAAUUUUGUUAGUCUCUAACCCUGCUCUGAUUCUCUCUCUCUCUCUCUCGCUCACUCUUAAGGGUACACCCUCUUUUUUGAGCACCCCUUUGUGUAUGUGUGUGUGUGUGUGUGUGGCACUUCAGCAUUUUGAUACCGGGAAGGGCAAAGGGGAGUCUCCAUUACUCGACACUUUUCGUGCCGUGCAAAUAUUUUGUGUUGCCUACUUUCGAGCGUCGCUAAAUGAAUUUUUCAUGUGCCACAUUUUUGUUGACUGACAAAAGGCCGAGUCACAAAAUUUAUGAAGCCUGCUGCUGUUCGGAAAAUGAAUAUUGCAAAUACUUUUCAAAGGUUUUGGCAGAAGGGCGGAAGGGCCUAGUUCUCAUGCUGAUUUAUAAAAUUUGUUUCCAUCCGUUGGGCCGUUUGUCUCGAACUUUUUUGAUUUUGUUUGUAUGCUGCAACAAAAAGUGGCAGAAGCAGGGAGAGGAAUCCUUUUUACGCCCGCUGUGCAAAAAUAUUAACGAGCCAAAGUUCCGUUUGGCAAACAUGAAAGGAACGAGCAAGAACGAGCAGCAGCAAGAAGAAGCUGAUUGCCAAGAAUGGGGGCAGGAAUAGAAGAGCAGAGGAACGUACGGAAUGAGGAGUAGCAGUCCUUGGGCAGGAGGCAAAAACUGUGCCACGCCCAUCUACCCCUCCGAUGCAAAAAGGUGGAAAGCAUUUUUGGCAAUGAGUAGCAAGCAGCCUCUCUCUGCCCUGCCCCUGCCCAUGCCCCUGUCAGUGCCAGAGCCAGAGCCAGAGCCAGAGCCACUGCCCCUGCCGUGUUUUGUUUUCUGCCAAUUGGCGUAGGCUUUUGCCUCAGGUCCUGCCUACACCGCUGACAUUGUUGUUGCAUCUGCACGAAUCUGCUGGGCUGCCUGCCAAGAGCACAUGAAUUCCCCAGCACACGAGAAGAAGAGGCAAACAAGGACACGUACAAUUCCAUGCCAGCCCCUGGCAUUCCAUUUCUCUCCAUGCAACGCCACUCCACUCCACUCCACUCUAUUCUAUUCCAUUUCCAGUUGAGGUCCAGCUUCAGGUUGUCAUAAUUUCCCAGUGACCCACGAGUAGGAGGAAGGCCAGAAUCUGGACUAUGCCCUGCAUGUGGUCAUGUUUGUUAUCACACACACACACACACACACACACACACCCACUCGUAUAGAGAGAGGGAAAGUGAAGAGUGAAAGCGAUCGGACGCGCUUGUUUUUCCUCCAGCGUCUAAUUCAUUUUCCGUGCGUGAAACUGCCUGGAAAAAGGUAAAAGUGAGAAGGUGCCCGACAGGAAGGGGUACGUACCGAGCCAGACCGACAUACGCGUUCAGGGUGAGUCUCCCGGCGCGGAAUCCAGUCGCUGGGCGCCGCUCCAUACACAGAGGAGGGGAGGAGAGGCGAGGAGGCCACGGGUUUUUCGCGCUCUCUUCUUUGGGAAGGCAAAAACAAUUUUUCCCAUUUUCGCAAUCUUCUUUGCUUGUUGCGAGCAGCUGAUCGCUAAUUAGUGGUGGGGAGCGCAAGCGAGCUUGCGCAUACCGAUAUAUCGAUAUAUCGAUACCCCACCGCCGGCAGCUGUCACGUAGCAGGUAACUGCAAGACCGCAAAGGGGAUAAGGUGGCGCAAAAGCUACAAAUUUCCAGGCCAAAUUUCUAGGCCUGGAUAGUCUGCACGAGGGGCAGUGGGAAAAGGUCACGGAUCCGACCACACUCCGAUCCCCCGCUCAGGCGGUGUCCCGGUCAACGGGACGUCGGGGACCGGGGAAGGGGCGGUAUAUCCCCCAUCGAGAAGCCAAGGGGAAAUCCGAGGCCAGCGAGGGAGCCCACAAGUGCGGACCGCGUAGCUAAUUAGAGCAUAAACGAGAUAUGGACACGGGAAACCCGUUCGUGGGCAGAUCGGCGCUGGCAAGAUCGCCGCGCCAACUGCCGGAAGAAGGGAGGAAAGCCGAUGCUUCGGUGGUCGUAAUGAGGGGCAAUCUCAUCCGAUCGCCGGUACUCCAGGCAACGCCAGGAGCCGUUCAGGGUUGUGAGGUUGACCCCAAAGAGACCCCCAAAAGGGUUAGGGACCCCGCAAGCCCGGCGAGCUCGCAGAGACUGACACCGCCAAAGAAGAGCAAGGCAUCGCAGGAAGCUAACGGUCAGCAGAACCUAGCGGAGCUGGGUAGACUCCUGGAGGAGAUCACAUCCAGGAUGCUGGACAAGAGCACGCGCCAUAUCAAUGAGGCGACCAGAAGCCUGUUUGUACGUAUAAAGAAGCUGCAUUCGGACAUACAGGAUGCUAACCAGGCGGCCGAAGCGGGUAGAAGCGACAUGCAGGAGGGCAUGGAGGGCGUAGUCCUCUGCUCGAAAUGCGCACUGAGCAUUCAGAGCGCGGACAAGGAGCAGCAGACAACGACCGUCUGGAAAAAGGAUGCCGCAUCGCAAACCGAGCCGUGGCGAAGGCUAAGCCAGCCGGUUGUGUCGGAUGGCCCUGUUGGGGAGCAGGCUCCCACGCUUAUGCGCCCAGCAGGUCUCAAAGGCGCACACACGAAGCGUCCGAAAAAGGCCCAGAGCAAGGCACACGAACAGAAGGCGGCGCACAAAGCCCCCAGCCAGCGAGACAGCCAUGAGAACCACGACAGCGAGUGGAGGGUGGUGGCCAAGAAGACGAGGAUAGCGCACCGCGCACGCCCCGACGCGGUCGUAGUGCAAGCUGGCGGCAAGACGUACAGCGAGGUAUUGGCCAUGGUGACCAGGAGGGAGGACAACCAGCUGUCGGACCUGGGAAGCUGCGUUUCCAGGGUACGCCGCACCUUCAACGGCAAUCUUCUGUUGGAGGUGGCAAAAGACAGCUCAGAGAGCGCUGAGACCAUGAAGGAGAGCAUCGCCCGCGUACUUGGCGACGCAGCGGCAGUGCGAGCGCUGUCAGAGGAAUCGAAGGUGGUCGCCUUGGAAAUCCGCGAUCUCGACUCCCUCGCGACAGAGAGCGAGAUAUGUACCGCCAUCGCGAGCCNNNNNNNNNNNNNNNNNNNNNNNNNNNNNNNNNNNNNNNNNNNNNNNNNNNNNNNNNNNNNNNNNNNNNNNNNNNNNNNNNNNNNNNNNNNNNNNNNNNNNNNNNNNNNNNNNNNNNNNNNNNNNNNNNNNNNNNNNNNNNNNNNNNNNNNNNNNNNNNNNNNNNNNNNNNNNNNNNNNNNNNNNNNNNNNNNNNNNNNNNNNNNNNNNNNNNNNNNNNNNNNNNNNNNNNNNNNNNNNNNNNNNNNNNNNNNNNNNNNNNNNNNNNNNNNNNNNNNNNNNNNNNNNNNNNNNNNNNNNNNNNNNNNNNNNNNNNNNNNNNNNNNNNNNNNNNNNNNNNNNNNNNGUGAUCGCCACGAGGCUGAGCGCAGCCAUCGAAGCAGCAGGCGGCCUAUCCCCGGAGCAAUACGGGUUCAGGAAGGGGAAGUCGACGCUGGACGCCAUCUCCAAGGUGGUCAAAACGGCAGAGGAAGCAUGCGCUGGCUCCAGAUGGAGAGGAGGAUCCAAAUCCUACUGUCUCGUGGUGACACUUGACAUAAGGAACGCCUUUAACUCGGCAGAUUGGAGCCGCACGCUAGAGGCCCUACAGCGGUUCAACAUCCCUGGUUACCUACAGAGGAUAGCGCGUAGCUACUUCAGCGACAGGGUGCUGACGUACGAGACCAGUAUGGGUUCCAGGGCAUACAAAGUCUCAGCCGGAGUCCCUCAAGGCUCCGUUUUGGGACCCCUGCUCUGGAACGCCAUGUACGACGGAGUCCUGAGACUCCCGAUGCCAGCCAACACCAGCAUGGUGGGGUUUGCGGAUGACGUCGCCAUAGUAGUGGUGGCCAAGCACCUUGCCGCAGCGGAGGAGCUCGCCAACGCGGCCGUCCGAGCCGUGGAGUCGUGGCUUACGGUCGCCGGAUUGGACCUGGCAGCGCAGAAGACCGAGGCGGUGCUCAUAUCGAGCCGGAAAGCUGUAGAGACUGCAAGUGUGCAGGUCGGUGGCACCACGAUACGCUCGCAGAGGGCAAUCAAGUACCUCGGGGUGCUCAUCGACACUCGCCUCUCCUUCAAGGAGCACUUGGAGUACGUGCAGAGGAAGGCCAGCGGAACCGCAGGAGCGCUCUCACGGAUGCUCCUCAACACCAGAGGUCCGAAGCAGGCAACGCGGAAGCUCCUGACGAGUGUUGUGACGUCGCAGAUCCUGUACGCAGCGCCCGCGUGGGCGAAAGCCGCUCAGGUAAAGACCUACAUGCGAGGCGUCGAGGCGACGUACAGGCUGUGUGCCCUACGAAUAGCGUGCUCGUUCCGGACUGUGUCGGACGAAGCUGCGCUAGUCAUUGCGGGGCAAGUCCCACUCAGGGAGCUAAUAAGGGAGAGAGCGGAGAUCCAUACAGCCGUGCAGGGCGAAAGCGAUGCGACAAGAGCAGAGCUGAAGGCUGCAGCGAGGAGGAACAGCAUCAGCAGAUGGCAGAACCAGUGGGACAGGUCAACUAAGGGGCGCUGGACUUACACCCUCAUACCGAAGCUGCAAGCCUGGAUGGAGAGGAAGCACGGCCGGGUAGAUUUUUACCUCACCCAAGCGCUUAGCGGUCAUGGCUGCUUCCGCAGCUACCUCAAGCGCUUUGGCCACGAGACGGAGGACUGGUGCCCAGAGUGCGGCACCGGCAUAGUGGAGGAUGCACAGCACGUCCUCUUCGAAUGCCACCGGUUCGACCACGAGCGACACCGCAUGGAGACAGCAGUAGGCGCCAGGAUCUCCUCCGAGACCUUGGUGCCGAUCAUGCUGGCCGAGCCAAGGACAUGGGAAGCGGCCGCAGAGUUCGCCUCGAGCGUUAUGCGAACGCUGAGAGCAUUGGAGAGGAGUCGUAAACAGGAGACGGAGUAGGAGCCUUCGAGCGUGCGAAGCAAUGCUUUGCGGCAGUACCGCGCGCGACGGGCGCCCACUCCCACCAGAAAAUACGGCCCUCAUUAUGAGUAUACCCACUAGUGUAAGAAGUAUUAUUAUUAUUAUUAUAUUUAAAGUAUUAUAAAAGCUAGAUAAUUAAUUAGAAGGAAUAAACAAAUGAAUACAAAAAAAAACACCCACUCGUAUAAACACUGAGGCCCUUCGCUUACGUGUCCUUUUCAAUGAUUUAUGAAAACUGCACCCAAACGAAGAGCUGGCAUUUUUUGUUCGAUUUUUCUCUGCUUUUCUUUUUGUCGAAUAGCCUUUCAAAGUGAAAUUUCUUAGAAGAUUCGUUUCAGUGUGCCGCAGGUGACAUAUUUUUUAGAUGGGAGUGGGGAAGUUCGGGAUGGGAGAGGGAUGGGUGCCUGAACUUUACGCCAGUUCAAAGUUCAAGCUGCCAUCCAGGUUGCGCCCCAGGGGAAACACGGCCAGAAAACAAAUUUACAUGAACAGCAACUGGAAAGUCAAUUAACGAACUUUGCCUUAUUUAACCUUUGAACUGAGGAUGGGUGGGAGGAUUUUGUGGGAGGGAAGGGUGUGCCUAAACAUUAAACAUUAAAAUGGUUAAACAUUUCAAGUCAAUAAAGUGUAAAUGAAACUGCAUCCAAAACGUACUGCCAACAGCUGUCAUAGCCCAACAGUCCUCCGCCUCUGCUUAUGUGCAUUUGGUGCAACCAGGCAAAAGGGGCAACAACCACAGCGAAACAGCGGCACCGACACCCACACAAUUGUAUGUUUGUUCGCUGGAUUGUCUGUUGCUGUGGCCAGAAUCCGGAGAAGGGGCAGACUGGUGGCAGCCGACGACGACAGACAAUGAGAUGUGGCCAUGCCCCCACUCCUUGCCGUCCGCCUGUCCAUCUGUGAGCUAUGGUAACACAUAGAAAGUUGUUGUAGUUGCAAGUUCUUUGGUUUAUUCUUUCUAUUCCAUGUCGAGCAUGCGGUUUGCGCCACUCCUUCUCUGGUGCUGCCUCUUCUGCUCGCUCUGUUGUGCAUUUGCAAGUUUUUAGUUUUUGUCUGCCCCAAACCUGCUCUCCAGCUCCUCCCUCUGCCACCCUUCGUGCAGCUCAUCCGUUUUUAUAGACUCCAGCACUUGUCGCAGCCCAUUGUCUUGGCCCAGGACCCAGAGAUAAAGACAGAGACUGAGGCAGACUCUGGCUCCAACUUGGACUCCGCUCCGCCUCGAAGAGCGUUGUCAUGGUCUGUCAGGUGGCGUGCUGUAAGCUUGCAGGUGUUUUUUUGGGGUUUAGUUCCUGACAAUACUCCAAAGAAAAUAAGUAUUAGAUCCGCACCCUCCACCUGUUCUCCCCGCUGCGGGGAAAAGUCUGGAAAAGUUUUUGCGUUUAAGCAUAUUAUGAAACUUAAAUGCGACGUAAUUUGUUCUUUGGUUUUCUUGGCGGGGGCUAAGCCCGCUUUAAGGAUAUGACAGUUUACAGUACUGAGUGCGGUUGACAGGUGUCUCUGGGCGGAACCGGGUAGGCGCUAGACGAUGCGUUUUUUGGUGGAGGAGGAAAGGAGUCUCCGGGCGGAAGCCAUGUCAUUGUCCCCUUCUUGCCCUGUCACAUUUUGUCACCUUUGUGUGGCGUGCUCUUUCCGGUGGAGGCUGCUGGAAAACCUUGUCGCUUUUUGUUAGCACUGAUUAUAUCGCCUUUAUUAGAAGCUGCUCACUCCCACCAUCCCCCUCAUUCAGUUGACGUAUAUGACGUUGUAUGCAUGCUGACAGCUCUGCCUGGGGCAACUGGCUGGCAUUCUCCUCCCUUGAAUGCUGUCACACUCUCUCUUCAGACUGGACCUGAGGUGUUGGCCAUCGCCUGCCGCCUUCCUUCUCCCUGGCUUGCUGUAAUUGUCUGCGGUUGGCAGCUAUUAAUAGGGGGAGGGACAGUGGGUGCAAUGAUGAACAUCCACUUCCUGUCUCCAGUCUCCAGUCUCCUGUGUGCCUCUCUGCCACGCCUCCUUAAUGAGGUCAUUGCUUGACAAUCGCAUUUGCCAUGCAACAUUUGCUGCUUUGCUGCUGCACUUGUGAUUUGUUGCAUUCCCCGUGUGCCUCCACCACUUCUGUCUCUCGUCUACUUUCCACCGAUUCGCAUCUUUGGCGUUGUCCUUGUCGUUUCUCAUUCUCUUUAUGGGGCAACGCGGCAGUGCUGCUUUCAUUUCCGUUUCCUGUUCUGCUCUCUCUCUCUCUCUCUCUCUCACUUCCUCUCCUUCUCCUUUUGCUCCAUUGUGGUUGUCAUUAGGCGCUCUUCACCCCACUAUCCCAUCCUCCUUCCAACAUCCACCAUGAGGCCACAUUUCAUUUGAUUUUAGUUCAUUUUAACUGUCUUUUGUCUCAUGUUUUACGCUGCUUCGGCAUCUUUUCGCCUGCGCUGCGCUGCUUUCAUUAAUUUCACCAGACAACAGGGUGCUAGAGGGUUACUGGAGGGGUGCUGGGUUGUGCUGGAGGGGCAUGGAAUUGGGGGAACUGCGGAAUUCUUCUUCGACAUAAUUUAUGCGACAAGGCGUGCAAGAGAUAAAUUUCUGUCGUUUGCCAUUUUUAGCUUGCGUUGUAUUUGGUCUAAAUAAAUUAAAGCAUUCUCCCGCGAGAGUGGGAGACAAAAGAUUCGAUGAGAGGGGCGGCGGAUAGGGACAGAGAAGAUACCAAAAACUACAGUAGUUUUCCGAUUGUAGGCAAUGGCCAUCGUCUCUUCGCUGUCUCUGGCUGCCUGUUGAUUAAUGCGAGCUCUUAAUUACACAGCGGAAAGGGACGACGGAAUGGGCUUUUGAGACACGGAAGACAGGAACACACAUAAAUGCACUCGACGCGCAGGUGCCACUAUCGGCGUCGGAUACAUAAUGAGAGGGCCAACACCAAAGUCAUGCUUCUUCCUCUUAUGCCUCCCUCUGCCAUGCGGCAUGAAUGCACACAUGGAUAUGGCAUUUUAACCUCUCUCUCUCUCUCUCUCUCUCUCUCUCAAUCUCUCUUUAUGACACAUGCCUCGGGCAUCCUCCCUCUCAUGUCUCAUGUAAAAAAGCAUUUUCUUGCGUUUGUUAAUUAAAAGUGUAACUGUGGGCAUGCGACAACUGCCAGCUGUCGACUUCCCCCCCUCUCGAACUGAUGCGUUUUUGAGGUAAACCAUAAAUAAUGAAUGAAAUUAACAGCCUGGCAAAGGCGGUGCAGCCUGCUCCUGGAAUAUGUGUGGCACACACCCCUCUGCAUGUGGCACGUGUUAACGGCAUGAAAUGCGUAUUGCAUUUCGGACUUUUGCCAGCCAGAGUUACGAAAGCCAAGAUGGAAAUUCCAUGAUUUACGGCACUCGGGCUGCAGGAGUUAUGGGUUCACUGGAAAGACAUUUUUAACCAAUCCCCCCCGUCGCGCCUCAGCUCUGAGUUAUGGCCAGCAUAAAUUAUGGACAGCAGCAGAAUUAGCAGCACCACCAACACCGAUUGUUCAAGAGCCGUGCCGGCAUCAAGGCAUUAAUGCUCGUCAAUCGAUUUUGCUGCGUGAUUUUCCUGCUGGAGUGCCAGCCCACCUUCUGGCCUGAUUCCUGAUUUAAUUCUUAGCUUCUUUAUGGAGCCAUUAAACUCUUAUGUCAUGGCAUGUAGCUCUGCCUCCCAUUGCGACCACCCAACCCCUAUCCGGCCAUCCAUCCACCCUGGAAGCCGCUGCUAAGCUCGCAUUUCCGUUUCCGCUCGAGCGCGGAGCAAACAAAGCGCAUAAAACUUCAUUGAGUUAUCAAAGAAGGAGGCAGGGGGCCGGGUUGCUUAUUUAUGCUCGGGCAAUUACUCAGGCAAGUCCAGAGUCUGAGCCAAGUGCCGCCAGCGCAUUCCCAGCCAUUCCCUAACUGCAAGACACGCAGCUCGCAGACACAGAUGCAGAAGCUGAUACAGAUGCAGAUGCAGAUGCAGAUGGAGAUACAAAUGUAACAUAAUUCAGCUCGGAAGAUGCCAAGCAAUUUAUUCUGCACUCAUGUCUAAGCUGGCGCAAAAAUAUUCAUUUAUUUCUGUUGGCAAAUGGCACCAAGGGAGGAAGAGGAGCAGGCGGAGGCUCUCCAGGAGAUGGAGAUGGAAAUGGAGACGGGAACCGCAGCAAUUAACAAGAAGGAGACGGGACGGGCUGGGCUGGGCUGGGGUACAGGGACUAUCCUCUUGGCCAGUCAAGUGGCCAACUCUGUUGCGGCUCGCCCUGGCACUUGCUUAUCCUCGCAUCGCUGCAUUUUCAUAAUAAACAAAUUUUAUUUUAUAAAUGUUCUUUCGGGCGGAGGAGAAAUGAAGUCAUGUGGUGGGCCCCAGGCCUGAAGGCUGUGGCAGGAUAGCAGGAUGGCAGAAGGCGGGAGGCAGGAUGUGAUUGGGUGAGACGAGAACUAAUGUGCGUUGCACUGGAAGACAAUGCCAGCCGACAACACAAUCGUGCUACCCGCCGGCACAUCCCGCAUCCCCCUCUCACAGUUGAGCGAGCAAAGCAAUUAUUUAUAUUUUUUGGCCAACAAUUUUCCGUCGUGUGGCUUAUGGGGGAUUCUUGGGAGGCCACAGACACAGGCACAGGCACAGGCACCCUGCUGGGUCGAAAUUAAAGUCACAUAUCGGAAAGGAGCGCAGGAGUGCACGGAGAAGCAGCAUCUGUAAGAUGGAGAAAGAAACGCUACACAAAUUUUGCAGUGUACGCAGAACGUGCCAGGACAUUCAAGUGGCCAGGACAUCCAUGCAUUUUAUAGCCAAAAACGACGGCUUCUGCCACAGACCUCCGCGCCCUCCGCGCCCUCUGUGCAUCCCUUCGCCUCGCCUGACUUUGGCCUGAAAGUAGUUUUCAUUGUUUUCCCUGCCUUGGUUGUGUGUCCCCUGGUCUGGUGUGGUGUGCUUCGGCAUGCGGGGUCCGGGGUAUGUGUUUGCUGUGGCAGCGACUGGGGCUAGGGACGACGUCUGUUUUGUUGUGGCCACAAGCAACAAGGACUUCUAAUUAGCACACUGUCAGCGGUGGUCAGCGACACAGGGAGAUGCGGGAAGGGUAUUGUGGGGCAGGACAAUGAGACGACAAAUGUGCUUAAAUGGCCGAGUUGUGGACGCCACUAAAAACUCAACUAAAACUAAAAUUGCACUACGAAAGGACGCGAAACGGAAACCGCAAACUGGCAAAUGGCUGCCACUGCUGAAGGACAUUACCAGUUCUUGUUUCAACUGCUCCUGCCACUCCUCCUCCUGCUCUCACUCCUACUUCUCUGUCCUUGUCAGCAGGCUCGUUACAGGACACACAGCGAGAGUAUAGUGGUUGGGGUGUCCUGUCCCAUGUAUAUGCAUAUAAAGCGGCGGCUUUGAGCAGGAACAAAACCUGCAACAACGAAUGAAAGAAUCAACGAAAAAAAGAAAAAGCUUCUAAGCGGCUGACGUCCUGUCCUGUACUGUCUACUGUGGCUAUGCACCUCCCUCUGCUCUUAGUUCCACUGGAGUUCCCCGCUUUAUGCGCUCUCCUGCCCGGCCAUUAUUAUACGAAACUUUAGCUCGACAUUCGCUUUGGCUGUCCCCUGGCCACUCGCGUUUUAUUUCCAUUUUGAUUGCUGGCGUUUUUUGGCGUGUGGUUUGCUUUUUUCUGCCUCCUGGGCUGCCUUCUUCUGGCGAAGCCCUCUCGUCCGCUCUGCUUCCUGCUGCCCGCAAAUGUAUGCAACACAUUCUGUAUGCAAUGGCCGCCGAACCAAACCCCACGAAGAGCCAAGGGUGGUGGGAGGUAGGGAGUUGCUGCCACUUCCGUGCUGGAUGGCGGAAAUGGCGGCGUCAGGUCGCCAGCAACGACACCCAGGGCCAAAAGUGAAAUCCGAAGCGCCGCUAGAAAACACAUGCAGUCAGACCGGGCCAGGAUCGGGACCAGGACAUGGCAGGAAGAGCUGUGGGUUGGGUCACAGCGAUGGCCAAUUGAAUGUGUGGCUCUGGUUUCAAGUGCCGCCACUCAACUAGCACUUAUUGCAUGCGACAAACGACAGCAGCAGGCACACGGCACGGAUGGGAUGAUGGCGACUCGGAUGGGAACGACUCGGAUGAGGACUCUGCUCCGGAUGCGUCCGCAAACUUUUCUCGUUUUUCAAUUUCAAUUUUUCACUGAAGUGCCUGCUGCUGCUGCUCCUCCUAUGCUUGCUCUCUCACUCUCUCUCUCUGCCUCUGCCCCUACACUUAAAGCAGUUAGCACGAUGACCAUCAUUGGCAUACCCAUGCAUGAAUUCUCUAAGCGAAUCUGUACUUUCUGUACUUUCCCCAUCCGCUGCAUACAUGUGGCCAUUUGCCGCAUGUGGCGCUGGUUGCACAGGGGGAAGGCGUCGUGUAAUUGUUGUAGAGGCAGCGAGUGGUAUCCACAUUACGUAUACGCAGCAAUGUGCUGAGGAUUUUCGGUGCCUAAGCGGCCGUGAAGCCAGAAAACAAACAGAAAGUCAGGCUUGAGGUAAAGCCCGAAAUAUACCCUAGAUCGAGGAUAUUUUCUGCUGGUUGAAUUCCACUACACAUACAACAGGGCUCGCUGCAGUUCCAUUUGCUUGUGGCGCGAAGGCAACAGAGAGGAGGCGAGCAGCCAAGGAGCCCACCUGGUCCCCAUAACCGGCGACUGCAGAUGGCAGGCUGCAGUUAUUACGGCCGUAAGCGUAACUGUUAUCUGUUUAUGCGCUCGUGUUCGUGUCUUCGCCCGUGUCGGUGUCCGGGUCCGUGUUCCUGUUUCCAUUUGGGAAAUUUCAGAAGUUGGUCGAUUUUUUUGCGCUCUCUUCUCAUAAUUUAAUAUUUACAAAGUGGGGCAGGACGCAGCGAGAUGGCAGCUGAAAACUGCAAAAUAAUAAAACGAAAUUACCAAGGGGCUCAAGGGAGUGCCAGGGACAGAGCAUCAGCAUCAGCAGCAGCAGAGAGUCCGAGAGUGCUCCGUCUGGCAGCUGCAGGAAAUCUGCGCUGUGCAUUAAAAAACGCUUAGGGCAGCAACUUUGUCGCCUGCCAGGCUCCACGUCCGACUGCAGUCUAUUGUCCAUUAGAAUUGGGACUGCCACUGGGCCUCGUGCUGGUCAUAGCUGGGCAUCGCCGCAGGCUUCUGGCAUUGUUCAUUGACAGUUUGGCUGCCUCAUCUCCAUCUGCAACUCCAUUCCCAACCUGUCCAGCAUCGAGUCAGUACUCCACUUCCCUCCUCGCACUGCCUGUCGUGCAUUUUCAAAUUUGUUUGUUUUUAAUUAAUUGCACGCGGCGAUGGCGAUCCCCUGGUCAUGUGUGAUGUUGUAUGUUGAGUGUUGGACAUGAGGAUGGGAGGAUGGGACUGCGUGCUGGACAGUGAUUAAGCGGACUGAAAUGGCACUUGGCAUGCCAGGAGAUUCUAGAUACGAGUCCCCCAGCGGCACUCCCCCUGCCCAGUCUCGCCUGCAGGGCGUGGCUGUUGGCGGAGCGUUGUCCCAAAGUAUGCCAUAAAAAAUGUCGAGACUUAAUUUCGAUUAAUUUGGCAGAGUUUUCCGCUGCUUUUCGCUCUCUUUGUGGCACAAUUACGAACACCAUCAAAAAAUGGAAUCAAAUGUAAGUCCUUGCUGCCUUCCCCGUCCCCCACCACCAUUGAGGGGGGAGUGUGUGUGUGUUUGCGGCUGUAAGCACUUCCCGACUGGAAAACCCUUUCGGGGCUGACAGCAUGAAAAUUUGCAUAAAUUUUAAAUUUCAAUUUGCAGUCGACGAAGAAAAACGAACAAAAAAUUAUGCAUACCACGAGAAAAGAAAAGAAAAGAAAGGCAAAAAGACGAGGAAGGGGGAGAAGUUCGAGACAUCUGCAGAAGGGGGGAAAAAAUGCCAGAAACGAAAUUAGCAGACAACAAAGAGUCCUCUAUCGCCAUCUAUCGCCCCCUGACUGGUGCGGCCAACGAAGGACACAAUCGAAACCCUUUUUCUUUUCGAGGCCACACAGGCCAGAGUGGCGGUGGGGAUGGGGUUUGGUGUGUCUGUGUCUGUGGGGACCAGCGGUAGCUAACGCACUUUCCAAAGAGAUGAUUGGGUUGCCUUGCGCCUUCUGCUUUUUUGGCUUUUAUCGAAGAGUAUUCCGUGCGUUUUUCCUAACAGCUCCCGUCCUGUCGUGGCCCUGGUCCUGGCCCUGGACUCUGCCUCUGUCUCUCCUCUUCUGUGGCUCGUUUUACAAAUUCUUACACAUCCGCAAUAGAAUCACAUGUGUAUGGUCAUCUGUAUGUGAGUGUGUGUGUGUCGUGGCUAUAACGGAAAAGGAAACAACUGGCAUUGGCAGCCAUACGACGUUAAGGAUAAUCGUGAUGACAGCAUAUUUUGUGACCCACAGACACAGCUCCACGCUCCCUCUUUGCCACUGCCCCUGUCUCUGUCUCUGUCUCUGUCUCUUUGUCUUUGUCUGUGUGUGUGGCUAGUUUUAGGUUUGCUUUCGUUUCGUUCGUUCAGCAUCCUUGCUGUCAGUUGGUUGUCUUUAAAAUGGCAUUAAAAGCAUCCAAAUAAGUUUAGAGCGACAUCCAGUAGUCACUUCUGACCGCCGCCCGCUUAACCCCUGCCCUUCGAACCCCUUUACGGCACUCCACCAGAAGAUGAGGAACGAAUGGGAGAGCAAAAGACAAAAACUAAACGCAAUUUAAAAUAAAUCACAACACACAAAAUGCUGAGAACGCGUCUGGGAUUGGGGGGAGUAUGGGAGUGCGUGAGCCGUGAGCAUGUGAGUGGGCUCUGGUGGCAGCUCUGAUAAAGUUACACCCAUUUGGCUGUGUCUUACAAGUGGGCGUGGCGUAGGCUCCCCUUCCACACCCAUGCGACUGCGGAUUGAUAUAUCUGAGCGGUUUUGUUGCUUAGCUCUGGAUAUGCUCUGCUCUGCUCUGCCCUGCUCUGCCCUGCCUGGAUGGCUUCCUUAAAAGUUGAGGGUUCUUUCGUGACAAAUGUGAAUUUUAUGUUGAUUUAAGCUGAGGGAAGGAAAGCUAGAACUUACGCUAAUAUUUCUUUUGUUCUUCCACUCUUCUUCAGAUGUAUUCUCCGGCUCCUGGUCGUGGCUCCUGCUGUUGGCUCUGGAAUGGUUCAGGAUGAGGUAAGUGGCGUCAUUUCUUGGAAGAAUAUUAAGUUUCCUGCUUGGCCAGCAAUCUACUUGGGACGUUAACCCUUCGUUGUUGCAUUGGGUGCGUACAGCACGUGUACGCAGCGUGGGACGGACCAUGGGACUCUGGACUCUCUCGAGUGACCCGCUUAAUUGAACUUUUGCUUAUUUAUGGGCCUCGUUAUUUGAGUGCAUUCAAGUGUUUUCAAUGGGGCACGCCCCAUGUUGCUCUGCCCCUACAUAAAUUGUUAAGUUUUAUCAGCCGCAACAACCGGAGCAGCGGCGGCAGCAUGAAUAAUAAGUCAGUGCCUCGAGCGAAAGGCAGAUCCUGAAAGACCAGUGCAUGUACACACACACUCUUACACCAACACGACCACGCACUCAGACGCAUACACGCACAAUUGAAGCGGAAGUGCGCAUUGUUUCCGCUUUUAAUAAGAGUCGUUGUUCUCUGUGGCAACACCAGCAGCAGCAGUGGCAGUGCCAGCAGAUGGAGUCGCUGUGGCAGUGUGGCAUGCAUAUGCUUUUGCAUAACAAUAAACCAUGCAGGGGGAGAGGCAGUGGCUGGCCAUAAAUUGCAUUAAAUUGCAUUUAAAUGUGUCGGACAGGUUAACAAUGCGAGGAGGAUCCACCGUAAUUGAUUGUAAAUUAAACCUAACUCCAUUCCGAGCCCCUUUACGGCACAUCGCCAGCAAUUAUUGUGGUCCCUUGUCCCUUUUUCUGUCUUUUAGAGCAUAAAAUUGUAUCAAACUUGCAAUUUUCUUAACUCUACGGAACAACUAGAAUCUCAGCCGUUGGGGAAUUUGCAUCCUCUGUGGGGUUAGGGGAGGGCCGCCCUGUUAUGGCAUGCCUGUCGACAAUUAAACAUAUUCAACAUUCACAUUAAUUGUGCCGAAAGUUUUUGGCAGGAGCAACAACAGCCCCGACGACGAGAACAUGUGCCACCUGCGGUUGCUGCCACACACAGCUCUCGCAGUUCUCACAGCUCACAGCUCACAGCGCUCUCUUAGAGUUCCGCCUUGGCGCACACUUAAUUUUUUGUGGCACCCAGCUGGAGCUGACUAUGAUCUAUGCCACUUGGCAUGUGUGGACGUGGACUCUACGGGAGGGCCAAUGGAAGUGGCAGAGUGCCGAGAGUGCAGAAAGGAGAAUGUAGAAUGGAGAUGGCAUGGAAUGGGCUCGCUGCGAGAGGUAGAUGACUUUUGUUCGGCACUUGAUUAGCAUUCGCCUUAGCCAUUUUAUUCCCUUUGUGCCGCGUGCAUACUUUGCGUGCAGAGCAGCCUCUCGAGCGGAGUGGAGGAGCGUGCCUAUUGAUGCGUGCUAAUUGCGAGGCGAUGCUCCUCCGCUCCGCAUGAAUGCAGCUGCAACUUUGCAUUGAAGUUUGUGCCAAGAACUUGUGAACUCUCCUGCAUCGUGCUUCGUUCUUCGGGCCUCGCUCCCUGCCUGCAUCUCCUUGCUGCUUGCCACAUGCCACAUUGUUAUUGGGCCGGUUGCAUAACAAGGAAAUCCGUUUCGAGUGCGACUGGAGUCUGUACUCUUUGUCUUGGCGGAACUCCUCCGAGCACAGUCCCAAGCUCAGGGCUUGAGUGCUCCGACUGGCUUCGAGUGCUCUGUGUCGAGGGUCCUGCUGUCUGGCGGACUCCUGUUUGGAAGCGAAAUGAGUCUCCCAAUUGGGUCAGACCCCUAAUCCUGGACAGACGUCUUGAAGAGAGCGUCCGACUAGCAGUCCAUAAAAGGCAGUCCACUGACAGACAGAGCGACAGACAGCACUUAUCAAAAUACUCAAUCAAUCAAUCAAUCAUUCAAUCAAUCAAUCAAUUGUUGCCAACAAAAGGCUCUCACAAAAACAAGAAUAUCGCUCAUACGCCCAUUUGUACCGACAUAAAAAAGAAGAAAAACAGCAACAGCCCCAAAUCAGCUUGGGGGAAAUGGCCAAAAAAGGGACCAGCCGACAGGCAGCAAAACCCGGUAGCAAGGGGGCAGUAGGAGCUAAUACAAAGGACAUAUGGCAUGGACCAGGACACAGCAUGAAACAUGAAAGCAGAACCCACGUCUCUACCUCUCUCUCUCUCUCUCUCUCUCUCUCUCUCUUUCUGUCUCUGUCUUUGAAUGUGGCCUUUUGUGGUGGCUUUUUAUUUGCACAGUGUACAGCAUGUAGAGUGACCCAAAGACCUGGGCCGGAAAAAACAAGCCCAUGGACUUAGGCGAGCCAACAAAUCACUGCAAAUCGCACAAACAAAAGCGACACAGCGACACAGCUUUGGCAGGGGACGAGGACGUGGCUGCGACUGAUUCACCUGGCAACAUACCACACUGCAGUCGGGGGAUGUGUCAGUGGCAGAGACAGCAACAGCAACAGAGUCUGAGUUGGGUGGCGCCCACCUGCAGUUCAUCUCGUUAAGGGAGCCCCUGUCAGCGACGCGUCUAAUAAGCCAAUUCAAAGGAGUUGUCGGAAAAUGAUAAUCGGGCGGUGGCGGUGGCGGUGGCGGUGGCGGUGGCGGUGGUAUGAAAUAUGCGGAAAAUGUUUAUCCAACUCGAGAAUGGUGUGGCUGAUGGCUGAUGGCCUGGCGCCAUCCUGCACUUGCAUAAAUUUGUGCUUACACACAUUUUGUCAACAUCUGCAGCAUAUUCACAACUUGCCAGAUAUUUUUGUUCCCCCCAGCCAGGGCCAGAUCCCGCCCACCAACCACACUCCUCUGAGCCAACACAUAUCGCUGGAUUGCGGUAGAUAUUUGCAUAUUAUGUCUAUAUGCAAAUCUCUCCAGGAGACCAGAAGACCAGAAGACGAGCAGAAGGCAGGCAGCAGCAGCGUAGCGGCAGCACCGUAGCGGCAGCAGAGGAAGACGAGGGCGUUGAAGAUGACGGUGCACACGCGGCAUAUACGUGCUGCAUUAACAUAUCAAUCAUACAGAGGUGGAGGCAGAGACACAGACCCCUUCUUUCUUCCGACGGCUGCUCCUUGGAGCAGAUCAAACAUUUAGUUGAUGGAAUGAGCCCGAGCGCGAUAAAGAUGAAUGAAUGUUUGCCAAGAUUUUGCACCGACUGGCAGACAGAAAACUUGGCCCAUAAAUCCAGCAUCCAUUGAAUGGUAUCCGUAUCCGCUGCUCAGCGACAGCCACUCAAAACUCCUAGCACAGUUGUCAUGCGGUUUAUUGAAAAGUUAAAUGCCGUGCCUCGGGCGAGGGGCGAAGGGUUACGGGACUCGAUUCGCGGGGCUCAAUAAAUUAAUGCCAACUAACAACAUUGUCAGCGAUAUAUCGACUUCCUACUCAACAAUAGUAAUUGUUGUGCUGAUUGUUUAAUUGCUGCCAUUUUGUGUGCAGUUUCCGGCUGCCACGCACACGCAUGCCGCACGCCGCAUGCUGCACGCCGCUCGGACAAAUAAAUAUUGCAAUUUGAGAAUCAGUUUUUCAAUUUUUCAGUUCGACCCUGCUCCGCCCUCGCAUAAACAAAUUAGCGGCACUGAUUUCGUCAAUGGGCAUUUAAAUCACUUUUCCAGUUGACAAUUAUUUGCUGCUAUUUAUUUUAUAUUCGUAUAUCCUGCCCCAGGACUCAGUGCAGGUCUGGUACCGGUGCUACUGGCUGCCGUUUUUUGCUGUUUGCAUAUCAAUGACCGACCCAUGGCCCACCAUUGGCCAUUCAAUUGACUUUUUGCAGUUUGCAUUUGAUAUUUUCAUAAUAUUUACGCAUUUGUUGGCGGCCAUAAUUUGUGUCAAUACAGCUUUUUCCUUCCUUUUAAAGAGCGUCAGAAAGUGUCCCGACUUCCAUCCCACGCUCCGAAACAUCGCCCCGAUUGCAUCUGUGACAACAGACAACAACAUGGCGCAUGAUUUAUAUGAGAGAAAUGAUGGUCCCGCAUACAGCCAGCGGUCGCGGUUUUCGCUCGCUUCAUUUGCCUUUGGUUUAGUCGUUCGAUUUUCUAUCACACCAAGGCAGGCCUUUAAUGUCAUUUAAUUAGAAAAUAUUGCCAAUUAGCAGGAGACAGGAGAGAUGAACUGCAGAACUGCGGCUCCCACUCCACAGAAUGACAUCAGUGUGCUGUGGCGUGCAGAAAGUAUUUGUGCAAUGAUUUCAGAGCUUCGUACAUAUAUCGCAAAUGGCAGAUGGCAGAUGGCAGGCAGACCUCAGGGCUCUGGGCCAAGAGUCCAAAUUGCGUCAUUGCCUGCCUGGGAAACGAGUUUUGAGCUUGUUUCAAUUAUUUGCCACGCAAAUACAAAAGUGCGGCCCCGCUUCCACCAGCUUCCAUCAGCCCCCAUCUGUGGGGGCCGUUGCCAACGUGCCCAACAAGCGUUGACAGGGCCAGAACCGGAGGUGUAAAGCCCGUAAGGAGAGGGGGGUGAGGAGGCCUGGUCCAUUACCAAUUAGGAGAAAUGUCUCCGCGUUCCCAGCCCUCACACCGAGCAGGGUAAUGGGAUUUGGCUAGAUUUCUGCAACUUAAGCGAAAAUCCACAGAAUGGAGUAUCUAAGGCUUCGCCCGUCCGUCCGUCUCUUUCGCACCGCUGUUCCAAUUUAAUGAAUAUGAAAUGGAUGGAAAAAAGUUGCCGGCUAUCAGCCCCUGCCUCUGGCACUGCCUCUGGCACUGCCUCUGUCCCUGCCUCUCCCAAUCUGCCCCAAAAGUUGCUCCCUCACAAUCUGCUUUAUCUGACAGAGUCCCAUCUCUGGCUAUGUUUUGCUGCUGCUGGCAGCAGCGUCCGCUCCUCCUUAGGGUGCGUCGGCGUUCCAGUGCCUGCCACAACCCAUACCACAGCGACUAUGCGUUUUUCAAUCGUUUUCAAUCUCAACAUGUAAUUGACGCUGUACUUCCACAGCUGCAUAAAAAAUAAUUUGAUUAUUAACUUUUGGGGAAAGUCGAGUCGAGUCGAGUCGAGUCGAGUCGAGUCGAGUGCGGGGAAUUUAAAUAUUUAUUGAAGCAGCUUCCAGAAGCUAGCCCGAAGCCCGGAUCCCAAAGUGGUGCCACAGACCCAGCCAGACACAGCCCCGGGGGCCUGUUGACUCUUUAAUUCUAAUCCCCGACUAAUCUCGGGCCGCUAAGACUGCGACUACUUAGGGGCUCGGCAGGCGAAGACGAAGAACCUUUAAGUGGCUGGGGAUUGUCCAAUCAAUUAGUGGCGAGUGGCAAGUAGGGCGAGUGGCAAGUGGCAGACGAAUUAUGUUGCAUUUAAAUGCUGUGUAUUUCUGUGUUUUAUGGUUGGGCCAAGAGAGAUUUAUGCGCCUCAUAAAUGUCAAAGGCAGCCAGCCACACACCACACCACUCACCUGCCACAGAUCUUCGUGUAACCUUCCACACAAUUAAUCUUUUUGAUGUUAGCUCUAUGGAAGGAUUGGGGGGGAAAGUGGGACAGGUGACAAAGUCAAUAAUCGGAGUCCCAUCACCUCCUCUGGGAAUACAUACAAGAGGUUGCAAGAGGUUGUUAUGGUGGCAGGAACACGGAAAGGGGCAGGAACAUGGAAAGGGACAGGGACAGGGACAGGGACAUUUGUAGGACAGUUCUAAUAAAAUAUUUCAUUUACAAUUUACAACUCGGAGACCGAAAUGAAAAGAAGCCAUAUGUCAAUUGCAGUUGCACAGAGUCGCAUAAACAAGUGGCAGACAGUCGGAUGGGCCCUUGCAACAGAGGGUGUCUGUCCAAUUCCAGCCCACCCCCCAGAAACCCUGCCACACACAAUGACAUGUCAAGUGCAAAAUGCAAAACCUUCUCUGGCCGGACUUUACAGAACUUUUCGCCAAUUGUUCGUUCUCGUUGUCGUUGUCGUUGUCGUCCACGUCCUUGUAUUUGCCGGAUCCGGGUGCUGGGUGCUGGGUGCUGGGUUCUGGGUCCUGGGUCGGCGACUGCACCUACAACUUCCGGCCUUUGUUGAAAUAACCAUAAAAUCAAGAUAAGUUAUUGGAUUUGCUGGCAGGAAGCAGGAAUAAGCACUUUUUGCCUUUGCCUUUGCCUUUGCCUCUGCCCUUGCCACUUGCCUCUGCCACUGCCACUGGCUCUGACUCUCUCUCCGUAACUCUGCCUCUGCCACUGCCUAGGCCUCCUCCUCUUGCCUCUUGCCUCCUGCCGCCUGGCAUGUCCUUGCCUUGUGUCGUAGAUUAAUUGCUUUUUUUGGGGUGAGGCUCUCCCCUGCCCCUGGCUCCCUUUUUGGUGCUGGAAAAAACAUUUUUGUGUAAUAUAAAUACGAGUUUUUUAUUCCGUGCUGAACUUUUGUGUCCUGACGAUUGCCUGCUGCCGUUCCCGGUAACUGUAGCUGGCUGCGUGCCCCUGGCCCUGCCCCUACCGCAGCCACAACCCCAUCUGCUGCUCCACCCUCUGCUGGCUUUCUUUUUGCCUUUGUAUAAAUAGUGACGUUGCCUCACAAUGGCCAGCUGUAGGCGCCGCACAAUCAGUUUUCACAGUUCGCACUUGCCUCUUGGAUCGCUUCUCGCUUCUCGCUUUUCACUGCUUGUUACCCCUGGCCCCUUUCACCACCCUCCCACGUGACUGCGCUGUGGCUGGCUUGCGCACUAAUGCGAUUAAGCCGCUUGUUGUGGCUGUCAACGCGUUGACUGCUCUCUACCUCCGUCUCCAUUUCUCUGGUGCCCCGCCCUGCCCCUUCCCCAACCCAAACCAGUGCCAGUCCCAGUCCCAGUCCCAGUCCCAGUCCCAGUCCUGCCCCAGUCGGCUGCCUUUGUAAUUCACUUAAGUGUGGCACUUUGGCCUGCGGUAAACGUCGUCCAUUGUGGCCACUGUUCCCAAGCACUGAUCUCUUUAGCAUACAGCCAGAGGGGGAGCAGUGAACGGGGAGAGGUUUACCUUUGGCCAACUUUCAGAUUUUCGGAUUAAUCAUAAAUUUCGUGGCGGCUGAAGUGUCGUGUCUCCCUACAAGGAUCUGUUCUGCCAUUGUCCACCAAAAGGUGGCUCAGAUGCCACACCCAAAGGGCACCCCUGUUAGGUGGGGUGGGGACCAUCGAAGCGAGGACUUGGACUCCUGGACUCCUUCUGCCAAGUAGAUUUAACCUCUUAACUACAUUUAAAAUGAUGACAUUGUGGCGUGCCUCCACUUUAAUCACGAUAUUACUGUCGCAUUGGGAAGGGUUGGGUGAAGAAAGGUGGGGGGAAACGUUUUAGCGACUCUGCCCCUGCCGAUCCCGGUAGAGAUUCGGUCGAGGAAGGUGCAAUUAUUCUCCGGCAAAGGCAGUAAAUGUAGCAGUCAGCGUUCCCCCAGUGGCAGUGGAUGUGACAAGUGUCACUGUUCGACACGCCCUUUGUGGCCCUUCCCCCCCUCUUCAUUCCCACCCACCCGCAUCCCCUGCUUUGGCUCCUCCUCGGCACACGCACCCUGAGGCCUACCCCGGAGGCAGGAAGUCUUUAUGGGCUCACACUCACACGCUCGUCAGGAAGCUCCGGCAAUCAGGACAGAAGAGGUCGGGAAGGGGAACGGCCCCGGCACCAAUUGGAGUUUAUUAAUUUGAGGCCGUGCGUGUCGAGUCGAGUAGAGUCGACUCCGAGGUAUUUACAAUUGUUGUAAAUAUUUCCUCUAUUAUUGUAAUUAUAUUUAUGGGAAUGUGAAUGGGGAGAAUGAGAAUGUCGAUAGGGGAUGCGGGCAGUGUGGGCAUGCCCCUGACAAUGUUGCGUGCCACAGAAGAAUGGUGCGGCUGGCGGCUAAGAGAGCGACUUAAAUCGCAUUAGCAGUACAUUAAACUGAUUUUUAUUGAUGUACUCGAGUCCGGUCGUGCUCGAGUGGCAGCCACAAGGAGGUAGGUGGCAGGGGUUUCCACAAUUAGUCAAAUAUUUGCCGGGUUUUCCUCAGAGUCGCCGCAAAUUGCUCAAAAGUAUUCGAGAACUGUGUAAAUUGUCGUCGUAGUUCUCGGAUUGUAGCUCAUGAAUAUCGCUAAUUCUCGUAUUUCUGCAACUAAUUUUCCCAUUCUGCUCUUUCAGACCAAGCUGCAUGCAGCACAGGCCGCACUUAUAAGGACCAUUCCUCCCUCCACACUUGUACACGUAGGCACUUCCGGAAUGGAUGGCUCCGACUUGACUUGGCUUGACUCUCGGCUCUCCACCUCCGAUGGCUACGGGUUGCGGGAUCUUGGGGCAUGCCAUGGAGCAUGGAGCAUGGAAACUUGACUUGGACGCUUCAGGUAAUUAUGCAUAUUUAAGCAGUUUUGUCUACAGUUUUACGGGGGGCGCCUAAAAGGAUGCUUUAAAUUAAUUAUUUAUGCUGGGCGGGGCCGACAUAUGCAAACAUUUGUUCUCCCUGCCUCGGCCUCGUCCUCGUCCUCGUCCUCAUCCUCGUCCUCGUCCUCGUCCUCGUCCUGUCAAGUGGCCUCCUCAGGAACAGGAAGCCCUCCAUCUCGUGUAUGGGUUUACUUAAUGGGUUUAUAUGCAUUUUAAAGGCAGGCCUAAGUUGGGGCAAAGUCGGGCAGAGGGCCUUGGCUCGUCUGCAAAAUUAAUAGAGGUUCCUCUUCCGGAUAAUUGCCAGGCUAAGAGCUGGAGCACACUCUCUCCUCUUAAAGCUGCCACGGCCGCAGAAUUAAUGCCACACUAUUAAUGCUAAUGUCGGGGCAUGGCUCCUUCCCUGGCAUCUGCUGGCAUCGGCUGCUGCCACAUCCCCUGUCCAGCCGCCUGUCUCUGUGCAUUUGUCAAUGGCCGGCCACUUCGUCUUCUUUUUGGGCCCGGCCUCCUUUCAGCCACACUUCAAUACACUGCUUUGCUUUCAGCUUAAUUGUUUUGCAACUAAACAUCAGUCGGAGGAAUGCCUUUCAUCCUGCUCCUCAUUGUUGUCGCUCGGUCCUACUGCUGCUGCUGCCGCUGCCGCUGCCAAAGUCGUGUCUAAGUAGCUUUUCUAUAAAGGAAGGCAGGAAGCGAAUGGAAUGGAAUGAAAUGAAAUAAAACGAACAAAUCUGUAUCACUCUUUGAGGCUGUUGCCUGAAAUGGGAGACCCGCUGAGCCCUAACAACGGCACAGCAUGCUCCUCACGGCUCCAGGAGUGGCAGGAGUGGCAUGAUUGGCAGGAGCUACAGGAGGUUGAGCACCAUCGAGUGGGAAUCAGCCUGAUGGCUGUUGGGCUGGCUAAUUAAAAUGUGUUCAAGGACAGAGUCUGCGAAUUGCGUUUUCAACUUAUGCUUUUAUGGCCACAGCUCCCGCACCUAAUGAGCCGUCAAACUAGGUAGUUGCCACAGCAGUCACAACUAUUUCAUUUGGAUACGAUUAAACCUUUCUGGAUUCCUAUGGAGACUGACAGACUUGUGUUACUUGACCAAUUCGAUGAUUCCGCCAAGAAUGGGAUAAGGUAGGGUCAGGGGACACAUUCGCCUGAAUCGGCAGCAGUUGGUUGAGUUCUAGUUUUGCGGAUGGGAAGCAAACUGUAGACAAUGCGCACGUCGGAAAUUAGCAUAGUUUUAGGCCGUCGAAAGUUUUCCGAUGUUUUUGCCAAUUUCCGUCAACAAUUUACCGACUACGAAAAAUCCCAAAAAACACAUCGUGGUCGACCAAAGUUAUGGUGGGUAACUUUAAAGGCAGUAUAGUGGGGUGGUAUCGAGGGGGUUUAAUUUAUUGAUUUGGGCGGCCCGCAGAGAAAUGUAUUGUACGGUAUGGGUGUACAUAGGUGCGGUGGAGGAGGAGUGUGUGCAAAUGUAUUUGCAGUCGAAGGGCUUAACAAAAACAUCGAAAACAGCUCACAAAUGUGCGCCUAAUUGAACUUUGAACUGAGUCCGGAAUGAAGAUGGAAUCGAAUCGAAUAGCAAUGGGGAUGGGCUGACUCCUGAGUGAAAUUUAAACGGUUUAGCCAUCCCCCAAAUAAAGCCUCCAAGGAGCCGGAGUUGGCCUAAGUAAAUUUAACUGAAAAAUGUUCUCUUGUCUGCUGUCUGCUGUCUGCUGUCCGCCGUCCGUUGUCCGUUGCUCUGUUGUGUUCUCCUUUGUUUUGUAUGUUUUGUCCUCUCCUUUUGAUAAAUGUCCAGCAGCAGGCAGCCAAAAACAAGCACAUAAAUCACACGCAUGUGUGGAUAAGCAGAGGCAGGCGAAGGAAUGGAAGCGAAGGGCUGCAGAGUAUCUGAGGCUGAAGGACAUGGGAUAUGGGAUAUGGGACACGGGACUGGGACUUGAUAUGCCCCAGUAUGCCCAUCCAUAUCCAUUUGCGAGUAGUUAAAGUUUGCACACUGCCCAGCCUGGCCGCAUGCAAACAUAUGCGAAUGACAAGCCGAUGCCUGUCUGGCUGCGAUCCCUCUCCGCUCUCUCCGCUCUUCCGGUGCCAUGUAAAUGUUAUUAAAUUUGUUGUCCAGGCCCAGAUAUGUAUGUAUGCACAUACGGCAAGCCACAAAGUGCCACACAGAGAUGGGGCAAGUACAAAAGCCAAUUGAUUUCAACUACACCGAACCCCAAACCAAACCAAAUAGAAAGCCAGCCCUAGCUGGCCCACAGACCCCUGCCUCAAGCCAAGAGCGGAACUGAAGCCACAAUUCUGUGAGAAGGCAAACCAUCCAAAGUCAAAUCCAUAUCCAAAAUCCGAGAGAAUACUGUCAGUCAAGGCAAACAAUGCAGGAGUCACAUAAGUAUGCGUCUUCCUGCCCCACCCGUCGCUCCCUCCCACACCCUCGCUCUGCCACACUUUGCCUGGGGCAUGUCACACCCUCCUUCCUCCCUUCCUCCCUUCCUGCCGUCCUCUUCUCGCUUCCGGUUCUGCUGUGACCGCAAAUGCCCGAAAUUUAUGCCAAUAUUUGCAUUCAAUGCCCAAAAAUAAACCGUAAAGGGUGGUAAAGGCUAGGGGCUCGAGUGGGACACGAGUGAGGCAGGGAGAGACAGAAAGAGAUGGUGGAGAUGGUGGUGCAUGCUUUUAGGCCUUGCAACUGUUGCAGGAUGCGUUCCGUUAUGUUCCGCCGCUCAUUCAUUCUGCUGAAAAUUGCAUAUUUAUGAGCGACCAGCCAAGAGUCUGUGUGUGUGACUGUGAAUGCCUGCAUGGCGUAUGGGUGUUGGUAUUUGUGCAUCGAGUGCAAUAAUUCAAUUGCACACCUACGCAAUUUACCGCCAAGAAAAAGCUGGUGGAGGGUAGUAAAGUAAGACCUCCCCUCCUGUGCUCCUGUGCUCCUGCGCUCCUUCUGGUCAGCAGCUAAUGCCCCGGAACGGGAGGCGCUUAAAGCGCUCCACUGAGCAGUCGAAUCAGCAGCCGCCAGCGGAGUAAAAGAAAACAGUCGCAAAGAGCAACCAGAAAGGGAGGGAGAUUAAAGCUUUCUCCAUCUACAUUUAGCAUAUUUCGCAAGCAAUUGCGCCCCUCGUGGGAGCUAGGGGAGUUUGGCAGUUGGGGGGAGACGGGCAUAAUUGGAUUUGUUUAGCUGUCAAUAUUGUGUCAGAAAUCAACAUGAGACGGGAGACGGGAGACAGGACGGAAGUGGGGCGCGACAGACAUGCAGGAAUGGAUGGAAGGAGGAAGGAAGGAUAAAUGUACAGAUAGAUGGAUGGAUAGAUAGAUGGACAGAUAGACAGAUGGGCGGAUUGAUAUUCAUAGAUAGACAUCCGAUAGCAAGUCAGGCGAUGUUCUGCUAUUAACUGCCACGACGGCGCCGUUGCCAGUAAGUGGAGUCCGGGUUGGAGAUAUGUAAAAAGUAGCGGCAUACGAUCCAAAUAUGCCCUCGAAGUGACACGAACUGCUAGUAAUGGGCGUGGCCAACAUGCAAACGGACGGGGCUAGAGGCCAGGGGCGAGGGGCAAUCAAAAAAUUUGACAUGCCAAAGGGUAGGGUAAUCGAGGAAGAGGGGAAAACAAACAGCAGCGGCUGCAGCUGACAUCGAUAGAUGGAUGGAAUACUGUCCCUGCAUAGAGCGGAGGGGUGGCAGGGGCAAUAGAAAGAGUCCUUUCCCCGAAGAAAGGACACUCAAGUCAAGUGCACUCGACCCUCGAUUGGCUGUGGCUCCUUCCGUUCAAAUCUCCUCAAGCUGUUGACUCGUGUGGCGUAUGCUGCUCAGCAACCUAAUACCAUCAGUGGGGUCAGUCCUUCAGCAGCACAGUCCUGUUCCGUUCUGUAUCCUGUGUCCCAUGUCCUAUGUCCUUUCCUGCGAUAUCAAUUAUAAUUUCCCCCUGCAAAGAGUCUGCUCAGAGUCUGUUUGUGAGCGAGGGACUGGGACUGGCACUGGGACUGGGACAGCGCAGUGUUUAAGUUUCGGUUUAUAAGUGUGGCAAAGAACACUCGAGUGCCUUAAACCAAAAUGAAAACAAAAUGCGAGUGCAAGAGAUGCUCAUUAGUCUGUUUCCCCUCUGUGUGCUUGUCUGCAGUGUUCCUGCCUCUGCCACGUUGCCCCGAAAACUGUGUUAAUAAAGUAUUUGCUCACUCGAGUGCAACCAGCAAACACACUCGACACAGGGCGAGCGGAGGGGGCAGAGAGUUGACUUUUGCAAUCAGCAGGCGAGGAUGCAGCUGCUCCUGCUCAAGCUGCUCCUCUUCACGGACAUUGUGGAUGUUGAUGCGAGGCUGGAUGGAGUACAAAUAUCCGAGCAGAGUGACAGGCAUACACACUCGUGCGGGCUGAGGCACAGACAGGUUCGAGUUAAGUGCCUGACUUGGCACUGUCAUAAUUUACAUAUGCCAAACAGCAGGAGCACAAGGAGCAGCAGCAGCAGCAGCACCAGCAGCAGCUGAAGCUUGGGUUAACCCCGAGUAUUCUUGCUCAUCCGUUGUGGCUGUGCUCCCUGCCUUGUGGCAAGGGCAUUCGAGUGCAGAGCACACUUCAGCAGCAGAUGCAGGUGGCAGGAGGCUUACUGGAGGUGAGUCGAGGCUUUAUCGGGGGACUGUAUUUAUAUGAGUGAUUAGCCUGUGUCGGGAGCUUUCCUCUCUCUCAUCCUCCUACCUUCUCUGCUCCGCUCCGCUCCGCUCACCUCUCAUCUCUCUGCACUGUGUUUAUUUAUUAGUGCAAGGUGUUGUUUGCCUCUCAGUCUCUCUGUCUCUCUGUCUCUCUGUCUGUCUGAAUGUAUCUUCGUCUGUUUGUGGCAAGCAAACAAAUGAAAUGUGCUGCUGCUGUUGCUGCCAGAUAUUUGCCUUUAAAUUUGCACGGACUUUAAUCCCGGCCCAUCCCAAUGGCCGCUUGCCGCUUGCCGCUUGAGAUUCGUUCUCCUUCCAAAUGCCACACACGUCGCGGCAGCCGGGUAAUUGAGUUGGAAAAAUGUUGUUGACGUCGUGCCCAUGCCGCACGGCGGAGAAGUAACAGUUACAGUUACAGUGGCAGUGGCAGUGGCAGUGGCGACAUGUUGCGACAAUUGCAUCUGCAUCCACAUCCAGACUCGAAUCCGAAUCCGCAUCUGCAUCGUCGCCUCUGUUUCCAUUUUGCAUAUUAUUACGUGGAAUCCUUUUGGGCCUGGGCCGUGGCAAAAUUUCAGCACUUUUUCUGCUCCGAACAUGUGCGCAAACAUUUAAAUCAAUUGUGUUCCAAUCUCCCCCGGGGAGAGGCAGUGCCAUGCAGCGUUGCAGCUGAAAUUGUUAUGUAAAAUACGAGCACGCGCUCGAAUCAAGCAGGAAAAAUGCAGACGAAGGCUGACAAGCUGCCGCCCCACCGGAGCUGGAGCUGCAGCGGGGGGAAAGGAGAUCCCUCAGAUGCGCCUCGAUUAGACGCGUUUCGGUUCGGUUCGCUUCGGGUUGGUCUGGGUUGAUUCGAUUCCAUUAUGUAAAUAAUUCUAUAUCUCGGUCUUUUUUUCAAUUUCAAUUUCAAUUUAAGGCGAUUUCCACUUUAAGCCGCUUCCCUCUCCCUAUCCCUCUCCCUCCAUCACCCCACCCCACCGCUCGAUGCAUUUUCCUUGGCAGCGGUGGAAAACUGCAUAAACCUUUUUGCCUUGUGCCUAUUUUGUUUCCGAGCCCCACCCCUUCGUGCCACUCGCAACUUGGCAAGGUGCACGCUUUCUCACACAGUACUGAAGGUCGCCCGAUAUUAUAUACACAGUUAAAGCCAUAGGCCAUGUGAGAGGGGAGUGAGGGGUGUGCGGCUUCCAGCCGGAGGCGGCAUGGCAAAACUUUUUGCAGCUUAGACCAGCUGAAGCGAAGGAAAACCAAAGUCGUGCACUUGCAAGCCAAUAAAGCGGAAAAAUAUUACAUUUUCCAGCCCCGCCACCGUUCGAGGAGGCACUGCGUUAAAAAUAUAUUUAUGCAAAUGGAGGUCUAGUUUUCCUCCCCUACUCCCCUACUCCCCUACAUUCCGACUGUCCGCUGCUUCUGGUUAAAUUAUUAAAAUUAUUAUUUCAACCUCAUUUGCAGAUUCGUUAACGGACGCUGCGGACAGGGUGGAUGGAAAUCAGGUAGGUUGGGCCUCUUCCCCCUCUGCCACGCCCCCCAACCCACAGCAGAAUUCUGCAUUCGGUUUUCAGUUUUAUUUCGCAAUUCAUUUUAAUUAGUUGCCGUUUAAUGGCAAACAAUUCGCACUAAAACUUUUAUCAGACAGUUUCCAGUUUUCAGUUUUCAGCUUCCACUCCUCCCGCAAGUUUCUCUGUUUUUAUGCCAAAGCUAAUUACACGAUGCGUGUCUGCCCCGCCCUGACGUGGCCGCCCGGAUUCAUAAUACUUUAGUUUUUAUAAUGUUUUGCUGGUUAAACAAGUUUCCCCCCGGCAAUUUUAUGAGCUUGCGACAUGGGGAGGCAUCAUUGUAGCACAGCAGCAACAACCCAUCUAAUCCCAACACGCCCAGCCAUCGACACGAGUCGAGCUUGGGGCCAUGUUGGCCGUUUUUUCGCUCUGGCCUUAAUGACUUUCGUUGCCACACGAAACCGGGAAUUGAUCUCACCUGGUGGUAGACUCAUGGAUGUGGCUGUGUGGCUGUGGCUUCUUUUGUGGUCCGGACUCCGGAGUACUUCGGAUGCGGCGUCCCGACAGCUUCGCGACUACUUGCAACUCUUAAGUGAGUCAUAUUUCAGAGCUUAAUCAGCUGCAAGUUCUGUUCUUGCUACUUGAAAUGGCUUAAGUUUUCGGCUUGUCUGUGGAGAAGUCGAGACAUGCAACGAGGAGAAUUAAAAGCAUACUUUUCGGCGACUUGCAACCGCAAGACAAUGCAAUAAAAGUAAACUUGCUCCUGCCACAAGUUGCUCCGCUGUCCCCACUGCACAAGAGUGGCCUGUGGCGGAGGGUUGCAAGUUGCUUGCUAGUUGCAACAAGGCAAACAAUUGAGCAACUCAUUGAGGAAGAAAAUCAAAAUGCAGUGAUAAAAACCAAUUGAAAACGAGUCACGAAUAGAUGUGCAGAGGGAUGCGGAGCGGAGUCAAGGCGGAGACAAAGGGAAACUUGUGCCAGGGACAUGUUUGUCUCUUGUAUAUUGAAUGUUUAUUUGCAUGCGACAUUGUGUCCUACAUACACAAGCGCAAACACACAUACAUCCAUCCAUACGUAUGUGUAAGUCUGUGUGCGUUAGUGGAAAGUUUUACUUGAGGUUGUCGGGGGCAGCAAAGGGGUUAAACGCGUUCUUAAUAUCACAUACAAAAUAGAAGAGUACAAAGUUAAACAAAACUUUUGCUGCAACAAAACUUUCGAGUUGCCACAGCGCUCUCUCAUCCUCCCUACCCUCCCUGGCAGUGGACGCGUCGUGAGUCGCUUGACUUGCUUCAAAAUUCAAAAUGGCUUCCACUUUGGGCUUUAAGCUGCCCGGCCCCACAACCAAGGACUUUAAGUAGGUGACAAAUUCAUUCGAAUCAAGUACGAGUCCUGCGAGAUUUCCCCUAAAUAUGCCCCAUAAUUCGAUUGAUCUUGUGGGCUUGUGGGCGGCUGGCAUAAAAUCUUCCACCUCUGGGGCGCUGCUUUGCGGCUGGUCUGCCAAUGAUGGCCAUAUUAGAAUCGCGUUCCUUAUGCGUGCCAUAAAAUAUUUACUCCCGUAUUCUCCCAUUUAGGCAUCUCCAUAAAAAUUCUGGAAACCCAUUCGGGCCCCUUGAGUAUUUCGAGUAUUUCGGGUAUUUAUUCAGCAUUCACUCGAACAUUCUUUUAGCGGGAAGAGGAGGGGCACGGCGGUGGCACUUGUUGAAGUCGGCAGGCUGCCAUCGCUUGCCGCCUCCUCAUACAUAUGUAUGUGUUAGCCAUACAGACACACACACACACACAGACACACAGACACAUACACUUAUGCAUUCUCGCAUUAAACAAAUCGAAUCGUGCCGGAGAGCGGUAGGGAGCGAGAAAAGUGCAGAACGCGCUGCGCCAAAUGUCAACAAUAAUUUUUAAUUAAGAUUUCUUUUCGUUUUUAAUAUUAGAGUGAAGCGGCGUUAGAUCCUGCCGCCUGCAUAGCAAUGGACUGCCACAUAAUGCAGUGCUACACACACACACACAGAGGCUCCUCCGCUCAUAGAGUGAAAGAUCCUUUGGCUGGGGCAAGGAGUUAAUUUGAAUUUUAUAGCAGUCAAGUUGUGUAAUUUCAGCCCCCGAACGCUUCUACAACGAGAGGCGUUGUGCAACACAUGUUGCCAUUGCAGAGCGGCAGGCGUGGCGCUAUGUCUGUGGGUGUGUUGAGUGAGCUUUAUGUGCAUCCAUAUGUGUGUGUGUGUGCUGUUUUUUUUUUGUUCCUGCCCCUUUUCAACAGUUUUCUGUUGCCCGCAGACAAGAAUGAAGGACUGACUGCUGCAUGAACUGCACAUUAUACAUCCUUGUACUCGAAAAAGACGACGAGGGAGUGGGAGGAGAGGGAAAAGUUUUUCAAUUUCUUGAACUGCAUUCUGGCAUGGGGAUGGGUGUGGGGCAGCUACAAGUUAAUCUGGCCCAGAGACUACUCAACUUGGCAUCCGUCUUGGCCGGGUGCGCAGUGAGAAGGAUGAAAAGGAUAUGUCGGAGGAUGCGGAUCAUUCUCCUCUCCUCUCCUCUCCUCUCCUUCCCUGCCCCAAGCGCCAUCAUUCAGUUCAUUUCCUUAGCCAGAGAUUGGCAAAAAAGUUGCUUAUACUCGUUUGAGGCUGAGUACGAGUAUUCUUUGCUGCAGAAAAGUUCUAAUUUCGUAACAAAUUACACAUGUAAUGCAUGUGCAAGAGGAGGGCGUAGUCGUUGCAAUUUAUUAGCUGCAAAUGUUCUACAUCUUGCUAUCUGGCGGGCACACCUCCUCCAUCCCCGCCCUCUUGCGUCACAAUUACAAGCAAAGUUUAUCUCUGGCUGCCAAUAAGCCCAAGUUUAUGGUCUGCAGCCCCUGCCAAUUAAGUGAGGCUCCCAAGGAAUAUCCUCAACGGCCAAAAAAUGCCAAAAAUAACUUUCUGCCAAUUCAUGCCACACACGUUUAUCCGUGCGCGUGUGUGUUGAAUAUUCUGCAUGCCACAUACAUUGAGAGAGGGAGCGAGGUGCAGUAGGUACUGCAGCAUCAGCAUGGGGCAUGGAUUUCUUAUUAAAUUAUGUUCGGGCUGCAAAAGCAAACUUUCUUUGCAAUAUUAAAAUUGUUGGCAAUCUUUUGCUGCUUUUUCCAUGCUUUUCCCCGCUUCACUGCUGGCAAAUGGCGUUUGCAUGCUUUGGGCUGUCGCAGCAAUUAUUUCAUUAUGUGUGAGGCCCCGACUAAAACAAACUAAAGAUUUCUUCUCGGACUUCUUCUGGCUUUGCCUCUUGGAAAUUAUGCACUCGAAAAGUUUCAGCGGCGCCUCCAACUUGGCUGCAGCAUUCUCGUUCGCGUUCUCGUUCUCAUUCUCAUUUGCCACUACCCAGCCCUGUUCGGUGCCUCACAAAGAGGCGCUGCGCUGCGCUUCAUUGUUAUUAUCAUAAUUGCAUAAAGUUUUAAGGAGUGUGAAGAGCGGGGCAUUCUCGUUGAGCGGGCUGCAGAUGGCAAGGCGCCGCUUGCUGGCGACACUUUUUCGGCGGAGACAAGACUAAGCGCUUUCUGGCCAUUUCCAUUUGUAAUUCCCUGCUCGCCCUCCUCCCCCCUGCAGACGGUGCGUUCCACUUUUCUCUUUUUCGGUUCUACUUCCAGUCGGUUUUAAUUAUUGCAACUUCUUUGGGCCCCUCCUCUCCGCUCCUUCAAGCUCCAUUAAUUUCCCUUUGCAUGCACGUGUCUUUGAUGUGAGGCGAAGGACACAAUCUCUCUCUCUCCGCACGCAUCAUUAAACAGGCCCCGAGCGGACCCGCACGCAAAUUAAAGUGCCAUAUAAUUUCCCGACCACGCCCUUGGCCAAGGGGCCCUACCGCCAAAGUAAACAAGCAGCCAAGAGAAGAGGCCAAGAAUUGUGCGUUUUUGCCCCUGCUUUUGGCCGGAUGUGAGUGAUUAUAAGUAAGAGAUUCAGCAGCUCCUACGGAAAGGCGGCAAGCGCUCCGCUCCAUAGAGUUUCCCUCGAAGCAAAACUCAUUGAUUACAUCAAAUUGCUUGCUAAAUGUUGACUCUGAGCGCUUUUCUCCACCCUCAUCGCUUUGUCUCAGGGCAGAAGGCGAAAACGGAAGUGUCCAGGGGCAUGGGAUUUGGGCAUCCUGGAUUUAUUGGCAGCCAAAGCGUAAGCGUGGGCGUGCACUGGAGCCGCUGCGGGGAGCAGUUGCACUCAAGCGUUUGCGACCAUCUUCCUGCCUCUGGAUCUGCCCCUGUUCCUGUCCCUGCCUGUAGCUCUCUGCUACAGCCUGUCAUUCUUACACGCCUGGCCGCAUGCAACACGCCAUGAAUUUCGUGCCGCAAUCAAACACUCGUCCCCAGCCGCUGGCGGAAGUGCGUGGCAUGACGAAGCCCAAAGCUGGGCCCACGCGGCACCCGCGAACGAGAGAAAUUAUGCCACUGCCACGGAUUUGCAUAUGCCCCGCGAGCUGGACGCAGUACAGAACUCCCCGAGACCCCCGGAUUCGAACUGAGCCACGUUGCCUGUCAAUCAGUAUCGGAGCCAGAGCUAUUCACCGCACUGGCAAGGGGGGGAUAGACCCAUCAUAUGUAUCAAUCACGAAGUAGGUAGGGUAGGAAUAGGACUAGGGCGUGGCCAUGUGAUAGACACACGGUAUUAAAACUACUGACAGCCGCACUUUAUUAUCAAUUGGCACACAAAGAGCAGGAAUUGAAACUCACUUAAUACAUUUAAAUGGAAUGGCCAUGGAAGCUCAGUGAAAAUGUAACCGACGCGGAGUCGUGGGAAGGGGCGAACCAACCAACGGUGGUGCUUCAUUGAUGAAUUUCCAAAACAAUUAGAAUUUCCAAUGAGAAAGGGGUUUUGGAAAUGGGUGAGAUGAACGCUGGGGCAGUAGCAGUGGCGGUGUCAGUGUCAAGGCAGCAAAUGUAUUCGUUUCCACUUUGCAGCUUCGAAAUUUAUUGCAUAUUUAAUGAGUUUAAACUCAGACAGAAAAUGAAAUGCAACGCAAUUUCGGGGAUGACUCUCUUUCCCUCGUUCCUUUAUCUGCCUAUCAGUAUGUGUGUGUGUGUGUGUGUGUGUAUGUGUGUGUGUGCAUCUCUCUCUCCUUCACUCGUGUGCGUGUGCCUGUGCCUGUGCCUGUGCGUAUGCGUAAGCUCUGGCGAUUUCCUGUUUUGUGGCUGGCAAUUGAUUUGUUUGCAAUUUAGAUGCGAAGCUCGGUUUUGCCUGCCAGCCUGCUGGGAAAUUAGUUCAAUUGUUUGUGUUACAGAUGCGGGUCAGAGCAGGAGGAGGAGGAUGAGGUAAAGGGGUGCAUGCUGGAUGGCUCAAACUUAAUGCACAAGUCAUUGGGCUGGGCGAGCUUUAAGUUAACAUUGCGUAUACGCGGCGCUGCGCUCAUAAAUAACAAAAUCGCAUUCAUUUAAAACUCAUUUCGUGAAUAAACACAGACAACCCGAAUGGUGGUUGUGCUCGAAAGAGGCCAGUGGAUGUAGGGGUGGACGCGUGUAUGUGUGCUUGGGUGCAGGGGUGGAUGGGUGGUGCAACGCAUGCAACGGCAAACUGCAUUUUAAAUUAAAAUUAAAAGUCACUUGCUCCCAUUAUCGCCAGCAGCACCGUGGACAGCCACGAGGCAGCGAGGACAACGAGGACAACGAGGACAACGAGGACAAAGGACCAGAUCGGGUGCUGUCCUGCGCUUUGCUGUGCUGUGCUCUGCUGUGUUGUCCUCCUCAACCAUGGCCUGGACGAGGCGAUAAAUAAUAUAUAUUGUGCACGCAUACAAUUAUGUUCCCUUUUGGCAGUCGCUCCCGCUCCUGCUCCCGCUCCUGCUCCCGCUCCAGCUCCCGCUCCGGCUCCUGCCUAGCCAAACUCCUGCGACUCUGGGCAGGUGCAUGCACCUAUCUAAAAACAAUACAAUGAUUAAUGCAUGCACAGCGCUAUAAGCCAUAAUUUCCUCCUUGAAUAUUGCUCAAUGAAACGUGCAUAAUCGAAUAGUAGCCAGCGAUUUGCAUUAAAUUGUCUGCCGCAGACGCUGCGUAUGCGUUAUAUUCGCUCAACUAACACUCCCCCUCCGCUCGUGGCAACUUAAUUGGAUUUCCAAUUCCAUUUAAUCUCUAAAGGGGUUUGAAGUAGUGUGGCGUGUGACAGGUGGGAUCAUCCAUGUCCAGGUGCUGUGAUUGAUUUUUAAUUAAAAUAUUUAUUUGUUUGCAAUUAAGUUGAUUGACUUUUCAAUCGGCGAACGCAGCAAAAGCAGUGCCCACUCAUGGCAAGUGCUUAAUGCGGAGUAGUCCCUGAGUAUUUCACUAAUUUCACUUUAUCAAUCCCACUCAUAUUUGCAGAUGUUCCUGGCUCCUGCCUUCAGGUAUCCGCACAAUCCCGAGGGAACCCUGGACUGGAGUAGGUAAGGCAAGGUUACCCCGUUGCCCCGAACAAACACUCCUUACUAUUAGACUUUCUUCAUAUGUUCCCUCCGUAUUUAUGACUGCGACAGGGACAACAAUUAUUUAUUUACUCCAUUUUGGGCACUGCCCUGCGGCAGAUGCUGCCUUCGUUCUGCUUCCCCUGCAGCCUACUUGAGAGUUAUGGCAAAUAAACCAUAAAUUAAACUACCACAGUUGAUUGCCGAGCCCCAUAACAAAUUUGAUGCGACUGACUACGUAUUCCCCAUGUGUGGAGGGCGGCCCCAUCUCCGUGUCUGUCUCUGUCUCUGUGUCCCUGCUCCUGCUCCCGUUAUACUUUGAAUGCGUAAAUGCCUAAAUGAAUGAAUGCAUUAUGUAUGUAUGCCGACUCAAGUCUCAUUGCUCCUCUCUGCGAAAUUGAUUUUUAAGUUACGAGCAUACGCAUUUAUUUGGCAAUCGACGGGAACGUAGUCUGUCCUACGUCGUCUGUUGAUGUCAAGGAAUUGCAAUUCAAUUUCUCUCUGCAAGGGUUCCCGCAAGGAAAAUCCCCAUACGACUACCCCCAAGGCCCGGGGCUGCCGGGGCAAAAGAUUUAUGAGCCAACGCACAAAAACGUUCAUUGAAAACACAUUUUCCAUCUUUGGCCAGAGAUGGCAUCUCUGCUUUUCCACUCCACCUCUAGUCUGGAGGAGCCUGGAAUUGUAAAUUCAAUAAAGCAUUAUAUAAUAUUGCCAAGUGUCCGUCUGCGGGACACACACACACACACACACACACACGGAGUCUUGGUCUGUCCCUCCAUGCGAGUGCAAUAAUUUACAACAUUUUAAUCGAAUUAGACGCUGACUCUGAAGGGGCCCCGAGAGACAGAGACAGAGACAGAGACGGACCUUGGCCAAGAGGCAAAAUGCAUUUUAAGUGCUGCAGUCGACGGCUGUGCAGAACUUUGGCACUUGGCAGCAUCGGAAGCGGAAAGACAAAAAGAAAUUACACACACCACACAAAAUGUGCUGGCUGGCUGGCUGGCUGGUGGGUUGAGAGCAAGGGAUACGGAUCCAAGGGAUCUGUUCUUGAACAUGUGCCAGCGAAUCUCUGUCCGGGGCCAUCUAGAUGGCUGAGAGAGCGGGAAUGGCAGGGAAUGGAAAAGCAUUUAAUGCCGGUGAUUGGUUGAUAAUUACGGGCAGUUCAGACCUCGCGAUGCGGUGACUGCGGAAAUAUGCAGUCAACAUUUGUGGCAAGCUUGGGAAAACCUACCUAAGGGUUCCCUUGCACGUGGCCAACAUAAACUCUGCUCUUUAAAAACAUUUAAUUUGCCAUUCCAACGACUUCCAGCGCCACAUGCAACCAGGCGCAAGUGCAUCGGGGCAAGGUUUGGGGGCACCAGAGCCAGAGAAUUGUCAUAAAUUCCAGGCAAUAAAUUUCUAUUUGUUUUAUUUUCCCAUUCUAGUUUUUUGUUGUCCUGUUUUUUCAGUUUUUUCUUUGUUUCGUUUGCCCCUGCCGAGGGCCACAACUGCAGAAUGGCAGUUAUGUUGGAGCCCAGGCAACAUUCAGAUUGCAAUUCUCCAGCUGCACCCAAGCCCAACUUCAUGCACUGCAUAAAGGAUCCUUAAAUCAUUCGCACUCUGCGGAGCGUGCUGAAAUAUAAAUGCUUGUGAUUUUCUAGGAUCUGCGUUGGCCACUCGACGCUCGACGCUCGACGCUCGACGCUCGACUUGCAUUCGUUCCUCUCCCGGUGGCAGCUGCCAAAUCAGGUAUACGCUGACAAUUGUUACUUGCAGCUGUCCGUGGCGGAGCUUAAUCAAAUCCCCUGGAAUUUGUUAUGGUUAUUUCCACGUGAAGUUCUUUGUAGUGUGUGUACGCCGAGCUAUUGCACGCCCAAUCGCAGUCAGAGCGGAAUUUUUCAAUUUUCCCUGCCUCGUCCAUGGGCAGUCCUCGUCUUUCCGGCGCUAAUAACUUUUGUCUUUGCGCGUCAGUCGCUGGAAAAUCGAUACAGCUCAACACGAGCCAGCAUUGCAAAUGAUUGGAGUGGCGUAGGGUGAUGUAGGGCGGUGUAAGUUGAGCAGGAUGAGCAGGAGACGUAAGCGAGGCGAAGAUGGACAGGCGACAGCAGCGGGUGCCACUUGCCUUGUCACAAAAUCCGCUAAGCGCCCCCGACACACUCAUCGUCGUGACAUGUAAUGAGCCCGAACUGAAGGCGAAAGCGGAAAGCCUUCCCUCCCUGCCCGCCUCCUCCUCCUCUUCUACUGAUGUGUCUUAACGUCGUGUCUUUAAUUUUGCAUAGUUUAUGAAAUCCCUCAGAUUCUGCUGAUUCCAUUAGCUCAGUCGUGCCUUGCUUUUAUUGUAUUAUUAUGAGAACGAGAGCCCCGCAAAGAGUUCUCCGCUGAAACUACAAUUUGCGUGUCUUUACUCCUCUGUGUGUGUGUGGGGGGAGGGGCUGUGUGUGUGUGUUUGUUGUAGCACAGUGGCUGUGGCAGUUUCAGUUGCGAAUGACAUGCAAACGUUGCAUUAUGAAUGUUAUUAUAAAAUCUCGCUAGUUCGGGCCGAGGCUGGGUAGGAAAUGGGAUGGGAUGGGAUAGGUUUGGUUCAGGCCAGGCCAGGCCAGCCCAGCCCAGGACGAGUGCAGUCUGUGUAUGCAUUUAAACGACUCUAUUUACCGCAAAAUGGCUGCCAAACAACAACAGCAAGUGGAACAACAUGCCAGCAAACAAUGAACGAUAAUAAUAAUGACACAACAGCAACAAAAAGCAGAAAAAAGAAACAACAGCUGAAAAGGCAGCCCGUUGUAAAGGCCACCGCCCGCCACCGAAUCGGCCAGCUGGGCCACAUUUUAGUGUGUGUGUGUGUGUGUGCGUGUGCCCCUGUUUGUAUGUGUCCGUGUGUGUUUGAGCACUUUGCAGCUAUUUAAAAUUUAAAUAAUAGCAGAAAACAGCCAGAAAAAAGAACAACCGCACGAAAUAAUAAUAAAUCAUGUGAAAUAUAUAUAUUUUCAGGGCAGAACACACACACAGACUCUCGCACGCACACAUGCCAGCACUGCCCUAGCCUAUGGAUGAGUAUAGGAACAGGCACUUUGUUGGCAGAGUUCUGCCAUUUGGGCCAAUGCUUUGGUCCUGGCGCCGCGUGUUGAUUUAAUAGUCGUGGUCACAAGCAUUAUGGCAUGCUCAUGAUUGCCCCCAAAAAUACGUGCCACAUUCCCGGCUCCCCAGCAAUGUGUGAGGAUGUGCGUGUACGUAUCGCACAUUGUUCCGGCUUGGCUUUUUAUGUAAAUUUUCCCAUGUGCAAUGCUUAUGCUUCUUCUCAUUUUUCCAUUAUUUAUUGUGUAUUUAAACAGAUUACGCAUAGGCAACGUGGCAAUGGCAGGGCACCAGGAGAAUGAGCAUGAGUUGGCCAGAGGAUGAAGCAGGAAGCGGGAUCGGAGCAAAGAUUAACAAAUCUAAUGGGAAAAGGAGCAGUAGCAGAAGUAACAGCUUUGGCGGACUGCAAAUUGAAAAAGCGACAACCAAUGACGAUGCUGGUUAAUGCUGGUGAUGGUGACGCGCAUAACGACAACGACUAGUAGCCCCAUCUGGGAGUGCAAGGAGCAAGGGGUCGUAGUUGCCUGAGAGCUAGGAUCUCGGAUCCGUGCUAUAUAAAUGGAAAUUCAGCUCCCUCAUAUGCUCCACAAAUCUCGCUUAAUUGCUGCUGUUGUUGUUAUUGCUGUGGUUGCUGGUUGCUGGUUGCUGGUUCUGCAAUGAAAUUUCAUGCAUUUUAAUUUAUGCAAAGUGGGAGAAAUAGCAGAAACCGCACGGCAAAACUAGCAAGCGAGAAGCAUUGUAAGGGCUGCCACAUUGCGCCUUCAGUUUUGUUUCGUUCUGCACUUGUGCAUAAGCACAAUGCCAACAGCGAACGGCAAAAAAGAGAGUGCCAAAGAAAGCGGGGAAAAAACUUGAAUAAAAUGCAAUACGAGAGCCCUGAAAUGGCAAUCCGAACUCAGCCGCACUGAGCUGAACUGAACCGAGCUGUUCAGAACCGUUUCUAGCUGAACUCCAAGCCAAAACGAGACGAAGCAGGCGGACUGAACCGACAGGGCGCAGUCAGGCAAGCAGCCAGCGAGCCACUUGGCGUAUACGUAAUACGUAUUUGGGCAGCGGGCAACACGAACGGCAAUCGCAGUGCCUGUGGCAGAGGCAGGGACAGGGACAGAGACAAGCAGCUUUGGGCUACGUGCCAGGGAGUCAGUCCGAUGGCCCUUUGCGGCAGGGAGAAGGGUAAACGGUAUUAAUGGGCAGCACCAGCACAGGACCUUCUUUUUGGCAGCAGUUGGCAAGCGUAGCAGAAACUGCUGCAAUGCGACUUUUUCGCUUUUUGGCUGUUGAUGUCUUUUAAGUAUUGUAUGUUGCACGUGCACCAUACCAUUUCUGUGUCAGGCCGUGUGUACGCUGUGUGUGUGGCAGAUAGUGCACCAACAUACAAAUCACUUGAAAGUUUACAGACAUUCGAUUUUCGACUCGCAACGAGUAAUCGAAUGCUAAUGGAAACUGUUGCUCAUAAAUAUGCCAGCCAGCUAGCAAAUCGCUGAAGGAAAGCCAUCAGCACGCGGUGCAGAAGGAGCGGCAGAAGGAGCGGCAGAAGGAGCAGCACAACCGAAGCCAAGAACAGGCCGUAAAAACUACAAGGGCCAUUUAACUUAUGAGUGGUAGACGCCGAUCCCUGGCAAGCAGCAGACCCCAGCUCCUGGCGAGAUCUUCUUCCUUGGACGGUGGCCUAUGCCAGUUGCCAGCGGCACCAGCGUCGACGGCUCUUCAGCGUCAUCAACACAUCGUGUACGUGACUUUGCCGACAAAAAUUAACAAUUUCAUUAGUGGCCCCGGUUGCAGGAGUGUGUGAACAAGGGUGGAUGGAGAAGAUGGUGUCAGUGGUGGUGUCAGCAAGCGGACGAACAGCCAUGGAGAGUGGAAAGCAACAGCAACAGCAACAGCAGCACCACCACCACCAUCAGAAGUGGGAGAGAGAAAAUAGAAAAAAGCUGAGGGGGGCAAAAAAAAUUGCUGCCACUUAUCAAACAGACGCCCCCACAUGCACAGCCCACACACUUCCUGUCUGCCCCGAUGCUAUAUCUGUAUAUCUGUCGGUCGUACGGGACUGUCUGUCCGUGCGGAUGUGGGUGUGUGGGUGUGUGGGUGUGUGUCAAACUAACGAACCGCGCUGUCCUCUCACGCCCGCUCCCCGCCCACUGCAGUCAUUUACAAUACGUCUAAAAAGGCGCUGCGUGCUGUACGUGCAUCAAGUGCGCUUCAAAUGCACUUCAUUGCCUCCGAGACACACACACACACACACACUGCAUACUGCUCGGAAUUCUUACUCAUACACUUGCACACCCGUACAGAGUGCUUAGGCUUUGUGCUAUACAAAGUAAAUGAAAUCGUGUAAGAGCAAAGAGGAAAGUGGAAAGUGGAAAGUGGAAAGUGGAAAAGAAAAAAAACACACACAACACGGAGAGCACGGGAAGUACGGGGAGCAUGGAGCACACGGGCCACACUGGGGCAGACAUCAAAAAGCGCUGGCUCAGUUGCCGCCACCUUUUAGCACUCGCAGCACACACACCCAUGCACAUCUGCACACACAGAUACACAUACACCGAAAGACUCGCGCACAAUCAAUUGCCUAAAGUAGUUUGUAAAAUAAGAUAAAGUUGCAGUAAACUGGGAUCUCGGGGAAAGGAUUCCGAGACAGUCUCUAAUGAAAACGUAAAAUCUUGCCCCCCUCUUGUCUGCUCCCCCGCCCCAAAAGAGCGACCUCCUCCUGGUUUAUUUGCCCAAGAUUUGUGAGCAAACAUACAUGGAUUUCAGACUUUUUCCUCCCGGCUUGUUCUUUCUUAUUAUUUCGACUUACCUCCUCCGUCCGCCUCACCCUUUGCUUUGCAAACGGCGCACUGCAGUCAUUUUACUUGUGGCCCCCUUGGGCAAUUUUAGAUCUCCUCCCCUGCCCCUGCCCCAGACCCAGACCCAGUCCUAGUCCUUGUCCCAAUCUUUGCCCAAUGCCUAUCUCUAGCCCGACUCCAAUCCCUGUAAGCGAAUGUGACUGAGUGCGCUUGAAAUUUUGAGGGCAGCCAAGCGAAUUUGUCAAACAGCAAAUACGAGUAAAUAAUAAAAUCAAGUUGGCAGGCUGGUAAUGUGCUUGAAAUUGAUUUUUUGUAGCAGCAGGACAACAAGCGAGACGGAGUGAGGACCAGGGAUAGACACAGGAACAGGCACUGGGUACGGACAGGACCAACAAUUGGCUACGGGGAGCAGCGGGAUGUCUCGGUAAAUAUUUGGUCAAAAAAUUGCCGUACAGGUGUUGAGUUCUCUGUUUGUUUAGUUUGUAGCUGGAGUCGGGCAUGGAUUUAAGGCAGUUUCAGUGGAUCUCUCGAGGACACCACGGAUAAGGGCUUCAAUUUUCACUCACAGUCGGGCACUCGCCAUGCAAAGUAGAAUUUGUUUCGGAGCUGGCGCUGUCAGCUGAAAUGCUUGCGCUGGAAAGCAACGAAAUCCCCUAAAUCAAUAAAAGUUUCGAUGGCUUAAUACGAAAGCGGAAGAGGUCCAUCGCCCAACUUCCUGGAUGUGGCGGCGACAGCAGUCGCUGCUAACUCGGCUGCCGAAAAUAUGCCGACGCCAAUGCUCCACCCCUUUAUUGCAUUCCCGUUGCAUUGGCUGAGGAUGGCUUGGGAUGGGAUGGGAGCGAGAGAAUAUUUUUAUUGACUUAGUUUCGAGUGGCAGCGCCAAAAAGUUUCACAACUCUUACAGCCAGCCAACUAUGCGCGGCGUCUCUAUUAUUGGGCUGCUUACUUGGGGCGUUGUCUAGCGGUAGUUUUUUCGGCUUUGCGAUUACAAGUGAGAUUUAUAUGGCCAUUUCCGUGCCAUUAGAGGAAGUUCUGUGCACUGCCUAGUCAAGUGUGCGGCCAUAAAAAUGCCUGCCCGAGGGACUACGACUCGUUCUCUCAUUUUUCGCCCCUCAGCGCAUUAACCAACAGUUUUUCAUUUACUUCUCUUGUUCGCAGGCUGACUUGUCAACAGAGGCACGCCUAAUGUCCUUUUGAAAGGAUCCGGAUCGUCCCCGGCCAGGAGCAGGUUCAACGGAUGUCCACUGCGCCAGCCAUUGAUAAAUUAUCAUGUGAGCAGCAGAAGGAUGCAGAUGGCAGCUGCAGCAAAUGAUGCAGCAUAGAACUAACCCUCUUCAUACCUUCCUUCCGUCCUGCCGCCCAGGAGUCCAACAGUCCAACAGUCCAGCAGUCCAGCAGUCCAGCAGUCCCACCUGCGACGACUUUUAAUCUAUUUUAAAUGUGCAACGGUAAUGGUACGGUGCGACCGGACGAUGGUUCACAACGACCGUGUCCCUUAAACUGGUCGGUGGGACUUUCGUCCGUUUGUAACGCCAUUUGUCAGCGAUUUAUCAUCAUCGUCGGGCCCCAGUGCUCGUAUUCGGAUUAUUUAUGAUCCCACCUCAUCGUAUGUUGUCCCCCCGCAUGUGCUACUUAUAAU